ACAAAUUAUCUUAAUAGUUACACUUUACAAAAAUUACUUCGGUCUACCAGAAAAACUAGGCGAGACCCGAAGCUCAGAAAAUUUACAACUGAUACAUUUACUAUUUACUGCUGCGGAGAAUCUAAGAUUUACCAAUUUACAUACCAAAUCAAAUACAUCACCCGAUGAUGAAGGAGUCGGGUUAUUGAAUAAGAGUUGCGGGAGAACUAACAGUCACGAAUCUGAAAAAAACAUAAAUGGAGACUGUCAGUCUCGAGAGUGAGUUAAAGUCAAAUAAUCUAGGGACUAUUGCUUCUUCUCAGAAAACAUAGAUUAUUCAAAUCAGUAUAUCAAACCAUACUAUAAUCAUACCCUACUAUUUCCUUCACAUAAAAUAUUAAUCAUUCGAAUCAAAAUAUCAACCAUGCACGUAAAUACAAAUCACAUUAUAAUCAAAUACCAUAAUAAAUAAAUAAAAAUAUAUAUUUACUUUUACGGGACGAGUGGCUCGGUAGAACCCUAAACCCCAAAAUCUAGUAGCCAUUCGGCUCUCUUAAUCCAAUAAGACUGGCGCCCCGAGAGCAAUGCUCGACCAGGGACCUUACCUCCAGUCUGGUCACUUAAGUAUCCAAAUAAGAAAUCUAGUAGCCAUUCGGCUCUCUUAAUCCAAUAAGACUGGCGCCCCGAGAGCAAUGCUCGACCAGGGACCUUACCUCCAGUCUGGUCACUUAAGUAUCCAAAUAAGCCGGCGCCCCGAGAGCAAUGCUCGACCAGUGACCUUACCUCCGGCAAUUUACACAAAUCAGCCCAGAGAGCCAUGCUCGACCAGGGCAAACCCAUGAAAAUUUUAUUACAUGUCCAUGAUCAUUACCGGUGCGCACGCGGUCCUGAUGUAACCCAUCAGCGGCAUGUUCUACAAGCCACAUUUCCCAAUUCGCAAUCAUCACAUAUAAUAAAUNNNCUGAUGAACUCAACCAACACAUAUCGAAAUAAAGAUUAAAGAUUUAAGGUAAACAACGUGCAAUUUGUGAGGGAAAAAAUAAUAACGCUUAUCUUAUUAUAACAUACUAAUAAUAAUAUUUAUAUUAUUUCAAAUAUCAAGUGAAAUCAUUUAUCUUGCGAUACUAAUAAUCAUAUUAAGCACAAAUUCUAAAUAGCAUAUUAAAAUCAGAUUAGCAAUAGCGCAAAGAUUAAAUGACUUUAACUCACAGAAUUGGCGACCUCCUAGCUCUGCUCCGGUGCCUCAGUAGGAGCGAGCCGAACGAACUGACAAUCUAAUCACGGAAAACAAUUUAUCAAUACGCUGAGACAAUCCAUCAUUAAUCCUAGGUCUAGACUCCUAGGACUGACUGUCUAAGAAUCUCGACUCGGGAACUACCGAAAAUUCGGCAGAACCUCCCCUAUAACACGAACAUUACCCCCCGUAAAAACGGGUCCAGGACCUGCCAGAAAAACACUCCAAAUAACCAACAAUUUAAACAACGGGAGUCGGGUCCCCAAACUUCACUAUUUCCCGACUCCGCCACACAGCACAAAAUACGACUAUGGCAGGCCAACUGACAGACAAAUAUUUUUGACUCACAAAUAUCAUCAAAUACUCAAUAUAACCCAAUAAACACAAAUUUAAAAUCAAGGAUUUCUAAAAUUAACGGGCCAAAGAUAAUUACCGAGACGCUCGAUCGCUCGGUCGACUCGCCUCCAGCCGCCGGAGUCCGAUCGACGAUCCGAACACACCAUCGAACUCACAACGACGCGCUGACGAUGAUUCCCGCUUCUGAUUUUCCGAUCUGACACCCGAUCAUCCGGAGAAAUUUGCGGACGAUCUCGACCGUCGAUUUGCCAACGAAGCCCGAUCGCCACGAAACUAGUGCCAUCGCGAAGCUUGAGCAGAGGAGAGUCGGGAUAUGUCCUCUGAUCAUCCAUCCCCCGCCGGAGCUCGCCGGAAAAGCCCAAAAACGCCGGCUGCCACCAUUAUCUCUCUCCACCGGAUCUUCCGUCUCCGGCCACCACAGGCGUCGCCGCUGCUGCCAAAAGAAAGCUCUCGCCGAGAGGAGCCGAUCGCCACCCAACUCGGCCGCCAACAACGCCGGAAAAGGCCGGAAACACGCCUGGAAGCCGCUGCCACACGCGCGAUUCUCGCCGCCUCACGCUACCGCUGGAGCCGCUGCUGCCGCUCCGCGCCCCCGGAGCUCGUCACCGACGCCGCACGCCGCCGCCUUCCUCCCCUUCUUCUUCGGCCAUCGCCCUCUCUCUCUCUCCCGAUCUCCUUUCUCUCUCCCCGAUUCCAUUUCUUUCAAUAUCGACAUCAGGCCCCCGAACUUUUCCUUAUUACAAUUUGGUCCCUCAACUUCCUUAAUUACUUACAAUUUCAUCCUGAAGAAUUCCAAUUUGACCCCCAAACUUCUUUUUAGCCUUUCAAUUAAGCCCCUAGCUAUUUAAUUUGGGCCAAAUCCGAAUUAUUGUAAAUAUACAAUUACAAAAAUACCCCUGACCGACAUAUUUAUUUACAAGAAUACCAAGCUCACAAAUUUCCAUUAAAACCCCAUAAAAAUAACAUUAUACUUUCAAUCCUUAUUCCAAAAUAAAUUUCCAAUUUAGUCCUAACACACAAUUAAAUUAAAUAAUCAAUUUUCCCAAAAUUCUUUUAUAAACACAUCCUUUACAAUUCUACCAUAAUUUUCCAAUAUAUAAUUUUACUUAUAUAAAUAUGCAUUUGGAAAAAUUUUGAAUAACCAAAAUAUAAUCAUUUCUCAAAUAAUUUACUUGAAUAAUUUCUUAAAAUUUCAAACUAAUUGGGUAUAGAAAAUAACUCAUUUAUUUGAUUAAUAUUAAAUUUUUCAUUAAAUCAUUUCAAAUUAAACCCAUUAAAAAUAAAGCUAAAAUUAACUUAAAUAAAAAACUCAUUAUUAAAUAUAUAAAAAAAAUUCCGGGUGUUACAUGUACCGUCAAAAUAAAAUUUCACAUCCUAUUUCCCGUACUUUUGUGAAAAAAGCUAAUUUGUUUAAAUAACUAGUGAUGGGCUAAUAGAGGGAUUUACAUGAUUUAUUUUUCUUAUAUAUUUUUUAUUUUUGUAUAUUACAUUUUGAGAUUUUAUUUUUUUGCUAAUUUCUUUUCAUACUUUUUUAGACUCUUUCCUAUAUAUGCUUUUUGGACUUUUUUUUUUUUUUACUUUUAUAUAUCGCUUGGGUACUUUUCUUAUUUUUGUACGGUUUUUAACUCUUUUCUUACUUUUGCAGGCUUCUUUUAAUUUUAUAUGCUUUUUACACUAAUCUAUACUAUAUAUUGUUAAGUAUAUAAUAUAUUUGAGAUAUAUUUAUAAUAUAUUACAAUGAUACUCUUUGUAUAUUCGAAAUAAAUUUCGUAUAAAUCGUUAUCUAUGGUUUUAGAAAGUUGUUGCCUUAGAAUAUUUGUUACAUAAAAAAUUUAUAUAUCUCACGUUUUCUUCUCAAUGGAUCAUAUGUCCAUUACAGUGAAGAAAAAUAGAUAUCUAUAUCUAUAUUUAUAUAUAAAUAGAAACAAUUUAGUAAGAAUCAUAAUAUUAUACAUUUACUAUAUACUAUAUAUUGUAUAUCUUAAAAAUUAUUUUAUUUUAUAGAAGAUAUUAUUAUAUAGAUAUAAUAUUAUUUACACUAUAUUUAUUAAUAAAUUAAUUUUUAAUUAUAUAAUAUUUUUAUUUUAAGAAUAAUAAUAUUAAUUAUACUAAAAGUAUUAAUUUAUAUAAAUAUUAAAAUUAAGAAAUAAAUAUUUUUCAAAUAAUUUUUAUAUUAUUAUAUCAAUAAAACUUAAAAAAUUAAAUAUUUAGAAAUAAUUAAUUUAUUAACUUCUAAAAUAUUAUAGAUUAAUAUUAAAAUAUAAAAAAAAUAUUAAAUUAUAUUAUAAAUUUAAUUUUUUUUUUUUGAAAAUGAUCAAACAAAACUUGAGAAAAAAUUGUCAAAACAUCUUUUAACAAUAUAGAAGUUCUUUACUUCCUACAACAGCGGAGGUCCUCAUUUGUUGUCAAGAUUGGCUUAGAAGUUCAAAUAAACCUAUCCAACUAGAAGAAUCAAUAGAAAAUAUUGAAAGCAUAGAGUCUGGUAACAUUUCUUUACUUCUUACAUAUGUUUGUUUAUUGUUGAUGCUGUUAAGUCUUAUUAACAUAAUUUUUUACUUUUAUUGCAGAAAUUAUUCAAGAUUCUGAGAUUUGUGAGUCCCUUAUGCCAAGAUUAAAUGUGGAGUGCUAAUUUUGAGGGGAGGUAAUAACAUUCCUUUGCUAAUUUUGGACAUAUAUUUUAGUGCUACAUAAAGUUUGUAAAUUUAUUUAUUUUAAUGAUUGCGAUCUGUAAAAUAUUUUUAUGCUAGCAGUAAUAUUUAUUUUAAUGGUUUGUAUUUGAAUAUUGAAUGAAUUAUUGUAUUUGCAAGUAAUUGAAUUGCGAAACAGGUUGUUCAAGAAUGUGAUUGCAAUUUUAAUUUAGAUUUUCAUGCUACUUUCUUUAGGUUGGUAAUCAUAUUUUUUCUAAAUGUAUUUGAUUAAAGAUGAGAUUAAAGUUGUGUUUUUUUAAAUUUUUUAGAACCGAAAAUAGCACCGAACCGAACUGUAUUGAACCGUAAAAUUAGUACAAUACGGUAUUGGAUCCUUUUAUGUAUGAUACAGUACUGGUACCUUCAAUUUUAAAAUAACCGAGGUUUGGUAUGGUACUGGUGAUUUAUAAAUAACCGAAUUGGACCGAUCCGUGCUCAGCCCUAGUUUGAACAUGCUCCUAAGGUAUUUGAUAAAUUUCUUGAAUUUCUUUUUUACUUUUGGUGAUGGUUUUAAUAGGUGUGAUGCUAAUAGAUUUGAUAUUAUAUCUGAAAAGUAUAUAUAUACUAUAUAUAUACACGAAAGCUACUAAAAUAUAUAUAUAAAUACUAUUUUUUAUAUAAUUUUAAAAAGAGAAAAAUCUUAUUUGUGACUUUAUUAUUUUAAUAUAUUAGAAACUUUAAUAUGUAGUGGUAUAGAUAUCAUUAUUCAUUUUUAUUUCUAUGUUCAACAGUAUAUAGUAAAGAAAAUGAAUUUAUAGUACGAUUAGAGGAAGAGUAAGUGAAUUAUUAUAUAACUAGCAAAGAAAGAAGAUGUCACAGAGUAUUAAUUCAAGAUUUACUAGCUAGUUAUUCAAUUUAAUUCGAUUUUUUCUAGUAAUAGUUUUACCGAUGUAUAGACAAGCAAUGAAAUAGUUAUUUGAGUUGGUCAAUAAAUUUAAUUAAAUUAAAUUAUAUUUUACACAAGUGAUGUUUGAUAAUAUACUUGUUUUAAGAAAUUAGCGAAACUUUUUGAAUAGUAGCCAAAUUUAUAGGUGCAUAGAUACUAAAGGUACAAAAUAUAAACUAAAAAGUAAUUUCAGAUACCAUUUAUAUACUAUAUGUAUAUCAAAUGUAUAAUCUGUAAAAUGUAUACCAUUUACUAUAAAUUUUACUUGUAUCUAAAUAUACAAAAAUAGUAAGUACGUUAUAUAAGGAAUUUAUUAAAAUACAUUGAAUAUAUUAUACUAUAUGACAUGAAUAUUGGUAUUAUAUCCAUUGCUAUUACGAGAAAAAGAAUCUUAGAAUAAAAAUAUGUUAAAUAAUUAAAAAGGUUUUGUAUAAAUUUGGUAAGAUUUUAUAAUUAACUGGUUGAAUUUUUAAUAAUUUUAUAACAUUCAAAAUUAUUAACAUUUAAAUAUAUAUUAUUAAGAACUGUUUAAAAAUAUUUAAAUAUGUAAAACUAGUUAUUUAAUUAGAUAAUUAUAAAAAUUUAUUGAUAAUUAUAAAUUAAUUUAAAUAUUAAUAAUUUUCUAAUUUACAUAUUAAAUUAUAAAUUAUAAAAAUAUUAAAAUAUUAUUAUUAAAUUUUAAUAAAUUUAGAUUUUAUUUUGUAAUUAUUAUNNNNNNNNNNNNNNNNNNNNNNNNNNNNNNNNNNNNNNNNNNNNNNNNNNNNNNNNNNNNNNNNNNNNNNNNNNNNNNNNNNNNNNNNNNNNNNNNNNNNNNNNNNNNNNNNNNNNNNNNNNNNNNNNNNNNNNNNNNNNNNNNNNNNNNNNNNNNNNNNNNNNNNNNNNNNNNNNNNNNNNNNNNNNNNNNNNNNNNNNNNNNNNNNNNNNNNNNNNNNNNNNNNNNNNNNNNNNNNNNNNNNNNNNNNNNNNNNNNNNNNNNNNNNNNNNNNNNNNNNNNNNNNNNNNNNNNNNNNNNNNNNNNNNNNNNNNNNNNNNNNNNNNNNNNNNNNNNNNNNNNNNNNNNNNNNNNNNNNNNNGGCAGGGUCAUGGCCUCUCUGAUAAUGAAGAGUCUUUUAUCUUUUUCUUUUUUUCUUUGAAUAUUUGAACUCUGAUAAAGAAUAUGCAACUACAGCUACCACUCAAGGAAGUGAAUUUCACACACAUUUAUAGAAAGUAGGUAUCAAAUAAUACUUAAUUUCAAUUUUGUUUCCAUACUAGUGAAUUUUUCUUUAAAAAAUCUUUAAAAUACAGUAUCAUGCAAACCCAUAAAGAAUUGGGAUCAUAAAUAAAUUGAUUCAUAAUUUAAAAAUGUAAAAGAAAAUUUAAAAAAUGAAUUCAAUUUAAAAAAUUAGAAAAAAAAGAAAGAAAGAAAAAACGCCAUCAGAGCUAAUUUUUUACUCGAACCAUAUAAUAAGAGUCCAUCAAAUUGAAAUUAAGAAAGAAAGGAGAGGGAACACCAUUAUAGCUAUAUACUUAUUCCGCAACAAUAAUAUUGAAAUUUAAAAGGAAGGAAGAAAGAAUACCUGAUAUGUCUUUUUUAGUACUCGCAAAUGCACGAACUGUUCCUAUAGUAAGGGUAAGUUCACCACGAGGUCGAUCUCUCAAGGAACUAUAAUGCCACUUAUUAUAAAGACUACUUAUCAACACAAAAUAAUAAAAGUAAAUCUAAACACUCUAAAUUAUAUAUUUGAGAGGAUAAUGGUCAUAAAGUAAAGUAACUAAACAAUAAAUAAAUAUGCAAUGCAAAUGCAAAUGCAAAUGUUUAUGAUCUAAAAUUAUAUGCUAAAAAUAGUUUUUAAUCUAGCCAUUUACUUAGUAAUCUUCUUGUUUUACUUUAAGCCUGAUCUAAUGAAUAAGAUGGUGAUGUGCCUUUUUCCUAAAUCACUCAAGCUAAUGAUGCAAUUUAGGUUUCUUAUACCAACAUCGAUUAAAGUAAAGAUGAUGUUUCUAAUACUUUUAAACCUAAAUAUUUUCAUAACAAUUACUAUUGUUAAAUUAAUACGAUGGUUAACUUACAAUAAUAACUGAAAUUAAUAAAGAUAUGAAGGUAAAGAAAUCAUUCAUUAAAUAAAUAAAUAACAAGGUUCAUACAAAAGUAAAAAGACUAAACUAAAUAAUUAUGAAAACUAGCCUAACAUAUUUAACCCAAUGAUUAUGGUAUUAGAUAGAAAGACAUAAAACAAUAAAAUAAAAAGCUCCCUUAAGAUCCAGAAUUUCUUCAAAUAGGAAAAAUAUUGGUCCUCAGUCUCCACUUUUUGAAAAGCUCCUUAAAUUCUCAAAGAACAAUGAAAACUAAAACUAAAGUGUUUAUGAAAAACUGUUACUAAACUAGUGAGCGAACCGAUUAAUCAAACUGGUCUUAAGAAAAUUAAUUAUUUUUUCUUUAUUAUAUUUUAAAAUAGUAAUUAUAAUAAGCUAAUAAUAAGAUUAUUAAUUUUUUUAAUAAUAUCCAAAACAGCCUAGACACUAAAAUUUAAAUAAUUAAAUAAUAAAUUUAAGUAAAUGCAUAUCAAUAUAAUCAUAAUAUUUAUUUAAAUUUUGCAAGUAAAUGAAUUAUAAACACUAAGUUUUAAAACAACUACUACUUUUCUUUUAAAAGUAAGUUCUAAUGAUAUUAAACACAAGAUUAUGAAAUGUUUUGGUGUUAUAAGUUAUUUUUUUUAUUUUUUCUUAUAAUUAUAUUAAGCAGAUCGGUUGAAUCGAUUUUUUUCAAUUUUCCGACUAAACCCUGUUCAAUCCAGUUCAAACAUAAAUCCGGUUAUUUAGGACAAUUCAAUCGAAUUGACACCGGUUUCUAAUUGAACCAAUAGAUCUGGUUUGAUUUUUUAAAACAGUGCAUACAACUACGAUCAAUAGCUUGAAUGGAAGGAAGAAAACCAGUAGGAUUUGUAGUGGAGGAUGAAGAGUUAGAGGAGCUUCUAGAUCAUUAACAACAAUAAUGGGGAAAGAGGACUAACCAGUCACAUCGGCAAUAAUGGAGAGAGAACCAAUUUUAGAGGAAGAUUGGACUUUGUCAAAGCUCCUUUAAGACAAAGGUGGGUGGGUUGGUCAGUAUUAUGAAAAUGCUUACAGAAGAUGAGACUAGAUGUAGAGCAUGGUUGAGUGAUAACAAGAGCAACUUCUGAUGGAGGAGACUUAAUUAAUUACAGUAAGACGAGUUUCCUCAAAUAGAAUUUCUUUAACAACAACAUGUAAAGUGGAUAAUGGAUCACAAUGUUACGUAGUGAUUCAUUUUUAAGAUGAAGAGCCAUAAGAACUUAGAUAAGAUGGAGAUGAUCAUUUCUGAUAUUUUCUUGAGCCAAUUGAUUCCAUAUAGGUUGAAUUAUGGCAAGAAAGUCAUUAACAAAUUAUCCUGAGUCUUGCUCGAGGCUAUUAAGAGUAGUGAGCAACUGAUAAUAAUAUGCAAGACUAGUCGAUUUAUACUAAUCAGACAAAAAGAAAUCCAAAAUUUCCUUUGCAGUAUCAAAUUUUGCAAACUGAAUACGAAUAGAUGCAAUAGAGGUGUUACAAAACCAAAUAAUUUUCUGGUGAUUUUUGCUAUCCCAGUCCUUAACCUACAAUAUAUUUAGUAUCAUUUUCAUCAGUAUCCCAGAUUGGUUUGACAACCAGCAAUGAUGUGCCAAAUCUUACGCCAAUUAAAAAACCUUUCAUGCAUUGGGACCCUACAGUAUAAUUAGACUCAUCCAAAAUAGUUCCAAUAUUUAGAGAUUUGAUGCAAACUCACGGCUGUUUUUCACUUAAUAGUUAUAAUAAAGCGUUUAGUAAAGACAUAAAAAACGGCAACUGAUAGCUGAUUCAGUCUCAAUCAGCUGUUGAUUGUAUCAGCUAUAUUUUAGAAUUCUUUCUUACCUAAUUUAAUUUUUUUAUUUAUUUAGAUAUUAUUACCUUUAUUAAAACUUAUUAAUAAUAAUUUACUUUAAAUAUAUCUCAUACGAUUAAAUUUUUAUAUUUUAAAAUAAAUAAUUAUUAUUUUGAAAUUACUUUUAAUAGUUAAAUAAUUAUAAUAUUUAAAAUUAUGGUAUUUGAAAUUAGAAAUUUUUAUUAGUAAAAUUUAAAUUUAAAUUUCUAUUUUUAAAAUAAUUUUUAUAAAUAUUUCUAAUAAUAAUUACAAUUGAGUUAAAAAAGAUUAACUAUAAUAUUUUUAAUUAUUAUAUGUUAUUUUUAUUAAUUUUUAUCAUUAAAUAAUAUAAUAAAAUAAAAUAUAUUAACGAUAAAUUAUAUCUUUAAUGGUCAUUUAACAUAUUAAUAGCAACUGUUCAAAAAAUUCUACCAAACGGUUUAAUUUAUCAGCCACCAACUACGAGCUGUAUUAAUCAGCUGAACCAAACAGACAGUUAGUCCAUAUCAGUCAACCCAAAGCAAGAACCAUAUAUGAGCAAAAAUAAAUCCAAAAAAAAAAAAUGAAUCAAAGUCGUCUGAAAUAUACAGAAUUAAGCUGACUAAUGGUAUAUUUGGCUAAAUUGUUACUAAUAGUUGAUAGUGAAUAGCUAAUUAAUAACUGGGUAUGAUAAAAUCAUUAUUUAUAUUGCAAAUCAUAUGUUUAAUUACUAAUUUAGACAUUAAUUAGUUUUUUUAAUUAAAAUAUCAUAUUUAUUAUUUCUCUUAAAGACUUUUAUAUGUAGUAUAAUCUAUUAUUAGUAGAUAAAUAAUCAUUUUAAAUUUAUUUUUAUAGAAGCAUAGUUGAUCCAAUAAAGAAUAAAAACAGAAACAUGAUAAUAAAAAAUAUUGAGUGGAAUAAUUAAAAGAUAUAUAUAACAAUAAUAGUUUAAUUUAAAAUUUUCAGAGUUAGUUUUUUCUUUUUUGCAUUUGUUUUUUACAGUUUCAAAAAUUCUUAUGCUAAAAGAAAAGCAAGGAUAAGUAAUUUUUUUUGUAGGCUUUUUUGGUUUACAGUAUUUAAAUAAAAAAAAUUAUUUGAUCAUUAUAUUUAAAUUAAUAUAGCUGUUUACAAAAAUUUUAAUUUAAAAUUGAUAUGAAUUACAGUUAUUAAGAGUUCUAAAAACUAUAUAAAAAAAAAAUUACCAAAUAUAUAAACAAUAGCUACUAGCUACUGUCCGACAGGUAUCCCGAAUAUCCUAUAAUUAAGGUCACAUAAUCAAGAGGAAAGGUGGUAACUUUUUCUUCCACUAAUUAGGCUUAACAACCCACCAAAGUCCUUUAUGAUGGUGAAUUAUUUGGAUUGUAUGGACACCCCUGUCAAUGAAUUCAUCAAGAUUUUCAACGAAAAGGUGGGUUGAUCGGGUGGACCACUGUCAAAGAGCUGGUGGCUUCUUGUAAUCUUUCAUUUUAAAAUGAAAAUGUCAAAAGAAAGAUUUCUAGGAAAGGUUAAAGAAAGUGAAGGAAAAUCCUGUAUUCAUGUAAAGUUUGAGCUAGGAGAAAAUUGUACCUAAAAUGUGGAUAUGAUUUCACUUUACAAAUUUAUCAGUUGUAACAUCAAUCUUUUAUGAUACAAAAAGAAAAUAAAAACUUUAGGGUAAGAUUAAAAUUGCUCAUAGAUCGUGUUUGCUUGGAAUUCAACAUGAAAUUCAAACAAAUUUUAGUAGAGUUUAUUUCGUAAUUUACUUUUAUUUCAAAUAAGUUUUAUGUUUGAUAUGAUUGUAAACCUAUUUAUAAAUCUAUGUAUUCCAAUGAUCUGUUAUAUUUUAUCUAAGAAAUUCAGAUUUUUAUAAUUAUUUUUUUAAAUCCAUCUGUUGAUUAGCUCAAUAAGUUUGACAAUAUUCUAUGUGAAAGAUCAUAAAUUUUUAACUAUGAAUCGGACUUGGUCAAAAUUAUAUAGACACGAAUAACCGUGUGUUGAGCUUGUAACUAGACUUGAAAAUAUUCAAAUUCAACCGAAAGGAACUUUAAUAUAGCUCGACUUGACUAUCGAACAGGUCUAGAUAAAAAAUUUAAUUUUAAUUUAAUGUCUUAAUUUCUCAAAAAUAUCUCUCAUUUAUAUUAUUUUCUUUUAAUAUCACAAAUUGAAUAUUCAACAAAAUACCAUAUAUAAGCCACUAAAAUAGAUUUUACAUAUAAAAAAAAUAAAAAAUAUCAUUAGAUGUUUAUUAGUUUCAAUGUUUCUUUAGCAUAUAGUAUUUUGAAUUUUUUUUUUUUUAAAAGAAAAAAAGCAGCUAGAGUGGCAAUGGGUAGGGCAUAAGUUGGACAAUGUCAUAUUUUAUCCAUACUUAAAUCUAGAGACUAUUAAUAGUUUUGCCAAUACCCCUCAAAUCCCCAACUCUCAAUUUCUUUUUAUCUCUUUCUUUCUUAUAUGUACUUUUGUAUUUUUAUGGACCUAUAUUAUGGUAGCAUAGAAAAGUGAAUAAAAACAUGAAAACAUAAAAAUAUAUGUAUAUGAAUAAAAGUGUUCAAAAAUAAUAUUUAAGAGGUGUCAUAUAUUAAAAAAGUAAUUGAAGAACAUAAUAGUCAAAAAGUAUAAAAAGUUAAAUAAAUAAAGUUUGAAAAUAAAUUUAUAUAUCAUAGCAUAUAUAUAAAAGGGCAAAGAGGAGGGAAGACGGAUAAAUUUAUUGAAAAAACCUUAUAAUUAGUGUUGUUAAAAUUGACCAAUUAGUCUUUUACUAAUUUAAUAUAAUUUAAUAAAAAAGAUAAUAAAGAAUGGAAGACGUAUAAAUUUACCGAAAUAGCCUAUAAUUAUUGUUGUUAAGAUUGACCAAUUUAACUUUUUACUAAUUUAAUAUCAUUUAAUAGAAAAGAUAAUAGAUAAUAGCAAAAUUAUAGAAAUUAUUUUUACUACUUUAAUAGAAAAAGAUAAUAUAUAAACAGUAUUAGAAUAAAAUUUAUAUAGAAAUAGCACACUGCAAUAUUAAAAACAAAAAGCAACUAAAAUUCUAUUUAAAAAAAAAGGAAAAAUUAAUGAAAAAUCGUGUAUGGGCUGGAGAGAAAGAAAUGAAGAAAAAUAAAAGUAAUAUGCCAUGCAUUAACUAAUAGCAAAAGAAAUUUGAUUUCAAAAUCAAGAAAAAAUCUAAGAUUUUUGUUCUUAAAAGGAAAAUAAAAAUUAUAAUUAAAUUAUUUAAGGUUUAUAAUAUAAUAAAUAUUAGACAUGUUCAAUUAGUCAUCAAGGUAGAUUUAGAUUCUAUCUUAUAAAAUUAUAUAAAAUCUCUAUAUUUAUUCCAUAUAGAUUUAAUAAUUAUUUUAUCAUUUAUAAGUCUAACUGCUGUUAGAUAGGAGAAAAGUGUUUUUAUUUUAAUUUAAUGGAUUAGAAGUAUUUAAAUAGAAACUAAUUGUCCAAAAGUCUAGCUACUUAAGUAAUAUUAAAUAAUCAGUCUCAAUUAUAAUUUAAUUUAUAAAUAUAAAAUCUAAUUAUCGAAAACAGUUACAAAUAUAAAUAUAAAAUAUAAAUUAUUUUAUAAAAAUUAUAAUUAAGAUAGAACCAGUAAAGUAAUUAUAUGAUAAAUCUAUAUUCUUUUAUGAAUUAGAUAGACUUUUUAUAUCACUAAAAACUGAACUAUUGAUAUUUAUUGAUAAAUAAUUUUUUAAGAGAAAUAAAGUAAAUAUUAAAUCUUUCUGAUAAAAUACCAAUAAUAUUAUGUUUUGGCUAAUGGCAAAAGCUUUAAGUUUUCUAAAUUGAACAAAUAUGUAAAUAUUGACUAUAGGAGAAGUUAUAUAAUCAAUUCAAAGUUUGAGAAGAUAUUUAAAUAAUGUCAAUAAAUUAUAUAAAAUUUCAUACUUAUUUUAUCUAAAACUAAAGAAAAUGACUUAAUAUUUUAGAAUGUUGACUCAAUCAUAAACUUUACUUAAAAUAGAUAAAACCAUAAAAGUAAUUUAGAUUAUAUUGAAUGCUAAUAAUAAAUUCCAUCCAUAAAAACUCCUCCAAUUUGUGCAAUAGAGAUUUGUAUCAAGUGGACUAAAUAUAUAUAUAAAAAAUUAUAAAUGAAAACUUCUUCGAUUUAUAUAUAUUUUUAUAGUGAAAUAGCACCAGAUGAACUAUUUUUACUUAUUAAAAAAAAUAGUGCUGGCAUUAUCUUGUAGUACAUAUCAUAGCAUGUAAUAUAGAUAAAAAGAAUAUACAACAUAUUUGUAAAAUAAAUAUUAAUCUAGAAGACUAUGGAUAUUUAAAUUGAAUGAGUCAUUUUUACCAAACAAAAAUAUGAUAAAAUAUUUGGAGAAAUAAAAUUUCAAUUUUGAUUAAUAAUGUAUCAAUUAUUAAUGAUAAGUUAUUAAUGUUAGUGUAAAAUUAAUUUAAAUUAUGAGAAUAUUGAGCUCAAUUAUUUAAAAUUUUAAAAAUUAACUCAACUAACUAAUGCAUUUACAAAUAUAAAUGGCCUAAUUAAUUUUCAAAAAUAAAGUUUAAAUAAACCAAUUAUAAUUUAAGAAUUAUACAAUUUUACAUUAACAGUAUUUAUUAUUCUAAAUUUAGUAAUUAUUUAUAUAUUUUAUUAUGAACAAAUUCAAUUAUUAAUAUUCAAGUGCUAUAAGAAAACUAGUUCUCCAAAAGAGUAUAUGUCUAGAUUCGGUAUUUUGAUACUUAUAUCCUAUCGGAAAUAUUAAACACGUGUGCAUACUUUAAGAUGUUGGAUAAACACAUUACUAAAUAUUUAUUAAAAAUACUUUUCAAAUCUUGUCUACAUUAAAACAUCCAGUACUAAGUUGUAAUUACUUUUAAUAUAGCUAUACAAUUUAAAAACGACAAGAUAAUAAAAUGUUCAUCCAAUAGAAAGCGACUCAGGCUGGUAUCAGAAAAAAGUGUUCAAAAAGAAAAAGGUUGAUAUCAAACAGGCAAAGUUCCUCACCCUUCUACCAACUGUAUUUAACCAGAACAAUUCAUCUCUUGUUUAAGUAUCUUUACAGCUUCCAUGACUCCAUCCUGAAAGUUGCAGGCAAAGAUUUUACAGUUAGUAGUGCAGCACUUUCAGUUUAAGCUCACAUAGUAAACGAUAAUUUAAGACGAAAUGCGAGAAAGUCUAGAAUCAUCAUGUCCGCAAAGAGGAGGGAAAAUGAGCAGGCCCUUAGUACUGCAGAUUCAGAGGCAAUGAGCAAGAAAACAGAUCAAACACUUCCAUUUAAAACUCAUCUACUGAGAAAAGUUUCAUGAUAUAAAAGAAGUUUAAUAACUGCUUGUACAGUGGAAAAUGAUGAGAUGGAACUUCUAGCUUUGGCAAUAAUAACAAUGAUGCGCAACUAACAAAAUGUGCUGUUGCUCGUAAAUUUCACUUUGUACCAUAUAGAACACAAGAUAUCCUUAAGACACGUUAUUUACAAUUGACCACACUAAUUUCUGGAACAAGCAUUACCUCAAGAGAGAUUCUUGCAGCAAUUUCAAUCGCGCGUGCUUUAACUUUAGGAGAUAAUGUGUCAUUUAUGGAUUUUGAUAGCAUAUUCGCAGCAACCCUGAUACUCAUCUCAUUUAUUUUAUCCGGAACCAGAUAACUCUGUUUAACAGGUUCUGGGGCAACGCCAAGCCAAUACAUCCUCUCAGCCCAAUAGAACUGAUCCAACAUAAAUGGACAUAUUACCUGCCAUCAAAUAUCCAUGAGGGAUUGAUCAAAUGGUUUUGCAACAGAAUUCAGGAUAAAGCACAACUAAUUGGUUAAUGCAAUGACAAACAAAAUUACUUAAUGUAUUUUCUCCAGCAUUUAGAUGUUCAGUAUCAAAGAACAAUGUAGAAAUUCAAUGGACCUGUACCACAAAGUGUCACUUCAGUUAACAUAGCAAUACAAUUUCUUAUACAUUAUGGCACGAUAAUCUAAUAAUUCCGUAAGAAAGGAAACAUAAAAAUAUCUUCAAGAAAAAGGCUAAGUUAAGAGUAGGAAAAUCCUAUUAAUAAAAAAAAAAUCACCCUGCGAUAGUGUAGCAAAUAUAGCUACAUGCAUGAGAUGGAAAAUCCUCUAAUUUUGCCUCAAAUGGUUCCCACUGAAGAUUUAUUUCUUUUCCAGUAAUAAGCUAUCCCAACUCUUCCUGAGAAUUCAGUGCAAGUCUAAUAUUAGGUUGCUUAACUUGUAGAAAUGACCAUGCCCAUCAAAACAAUGAAAAUUUGGAAAACAAAAGCUUCAUAUUUAUGAUAUCUAUAAUAAUGAUAAUUAAAAAGAAAGAAGCAACAAACCUGAGGGAUUCCCGCAUAUAGCGCUGCAGCAGUGGAACCACUAAUUCAUCAAUGAAGAAAAGUAAUACAAAACUAAUUAGCAAUGGUAUAUUGAUGUACACUUGACAUGUUUGGACUCUAUAUCAAGUAAAUAAAACACUCACCUGCCCCCAUGAUGAAUUGCAGCCAGGCAUCUUGGAAAUAGCCAAUUGUAUGGUAUCAUACUGGUUUAUACAACAAGAAGAUGUACCAUAACAGUGUCAUGGAAAGGAAUCUUAGCAACUAUUGUUCACUCUCUAAUCAAUUUUGACAGUUUGGGGUUUCUUCUCCACGAAGCCCAUGACUUAAUAUGUUUUCACAUAUAAGAGAGGUUUACUCAAGCAGAUGCAAAUAUGUAAUUUCAGUCAUUUCACAGAGAAAGAAAUUUUUUGGUUCUAGUUGAAGUCAGGUUCUCUAGGAACUUCCAACUUCUACUGGAUGUCUUAGUAGACUGGCAGUACACAUGCUACAAGUCCUACCAUGCAGUUGAGAAUUAAACAACUUCAGAUUUUCAGUACUCACCAUUAUUUUUAGGUGUUGCCUUGCACUUUGUCAGAGUGGCUGGCCUUACAAACUUUUAAAUAGUGUGAUUAAUCAAAGUCCCAUAAUACCAGUGACGUGAUCUAAAAGUUUAAUGCGUAACAUAUGAUGAAUCACUAACUUAAUUGGUGGGAUUUUACCCUUCUAGUUUCCUUAUGUGUCCCUUACACAGAAAUCCAAUGUUUCCCUUCAUAUAAAACUCAUAAAGUAGUUCUAAAAUAACAUAACCCAAAAUAAUGACCGACUCAUUUUCAAAUUAAUGUAGGCAUUCUAAUUUCACAUGUAUCUUCGGCUACUAAGAACUGUAAAAUUGCAAAAGUUUCAGGCAGUUAUCAUUUUACUAUUUUAGUUUGAACAAUGUGCAUCUCCUCCUCUCAAGUUAGCAAAUCAGGAAAUGCUCACCCGGGAAAGCAGAAGAGCCGACCAUUAAAGAGACACAUUCCCUCAUUGCUGUACUGCCUUUGAUCUAUGCAGGAAGUUUCACUAUUGAGAAUUCUGACUGCUUCAUCUAAAGGGUCAUAGCCAGAAGUAAAAAGGAUAAAUUUGAAAUUUGUGAUCUCCAGUACAGUUUGAAUGACCCAAAGGAAUGCUUGAGGGUGCUUCAGAAAGCCCAUGCUGCAAAAAACAAAGAGAAAAGCAGUUCAAGAGAAGGCGAAAAUUGAUAUUCCUAAUCAAUAAGAAGAAAAGGACCAUUCAAAACACUACUGUUAAAUUUAGGCUCCCGCCGCAAUUAGCUGAAAUCAGCACUCUACCCCACUAUGUUCCCCCCUUUAACCCAAUAUCGAGAGACUAGCUUUUAAAAAAGCACCAAGAAGUUAAGGAACCUGCCUUCCAACAGAACUUAGCCCUAUGAAAAUAGGUGGCACUGAUGCCUUCAGAAAAUGUUGUAACUUCAUAUGAUCCGCACACAUUUCAGUUUCUGAUCUAGGACUUUCAGAAGAAGAAAUUGCUGAAAUAUCUCCACACUUCUUACAUGAAAACUGCCACUCACAAGGAAGGAACCAAAACCCACAAACACGAACAUUUGAUGGCCAAUAGUCUGUUAAUGUGUUAGCAGAAGGAUAAUGGAAAAGAAAAAACUUUACUAAGAAUUCUUAGCGGCGAAAAAAUAUAAAGGAGGAAAGGUAUUUUUUCUCUGCCCUGCAGACUGAAAAGAGCAUAUCAAGAAAACCGACUUAUUUUCUAUAAAUGUCCAGAAGCAUUAAAGCCGCAUCAUUGCUUAUCUCUAAGAAACACCACAAAGGACCACCUCCAGAAUUGUAGCAAAGAACAGAUAUAAAGCUGAAUCUCUCUCUCUCUCUCUCUCUCUCUCUCCUUCCUUUUACUGAUACAAGACCUAUAAAAGGCACUUGUAUAACAAAUUUCAGAGUUCGAACACUGUUCUUACAACAAGAGUGUUCAUAAGUAACAGCAGAAAGUAAAUUGAGGUUUAACCAACAAGACCAAGCCCUAAUAUUUUCAAGUUCUUCACACAAGCAACAAGUAGACUAAUAGAGACAAGAAAGUAAAAGGGAAAACAUAUUCAUGAUAUCCUUUUUUUACACAGCAAUACUAUAAAGGAAUUAUGUUUUAUGAAUUAACCUUAAUGAUUUCAUGUGCAGUAAGAUUCCUAGGAUGUGAAUCAUACUUCAAAGUCUUUCACUAGCCUUCAACCUCUCAUUGACUUAAUCAAAGAAAGAAAGGGAUAAAGUUUUCCAUCUUGCAGUUCAAAGCAGAAGUGCACAACAAAUUGCAUAAAGCAGGAAGAAAAAUACAGUCACCUGGGCAUUCGACAAUUUCCUUGCUAAAUCCAUACCUGUUACACAGAAGUAGUCAACAAUUAGAAAUUGAUUUCAAUGUUUAGAUCUAUUGUUGAGAGAGCGAGAGAGAGAGAGAGAGGAAAAGAAGGCAAAGAGAGAGAUAAAGGACAGUGUCGCUCCUUCCUUUUAAUUCUGUUGUGACACAUGAAUUCUUGAAAAAGAGGGAGGGAAUUCUUGAAAAGAAUGCAACAAACAUUUAUGCCAUUUCCAAUUAAGUUUACAGGAAAGCCAUCACAAGAAUGCUCAUAUAAUACUAUUUAGUUCAGUUAAAUUCUUGCUUCUUUUUUACUUCCUGUCUUCAAGACACUGGAAUGAAAUCCUUCAGCUGAACUCCAUGGUCCUUGACAUACUCUAUUUUAGAAUUUCACAUGGACUUUUGAGCCCGAUGUAAUUGAUAAAAGAAUGCAUUUUAUUUAAUUCAUUUCUCGGAAUGAUUUGGUAUUCUAUCUUGAGAAGACAACUUACAAGAGUAGGGGAGCUGGUGGCCAAUCAUGCCAAGUAGGAAGACCUGUUACUGGAUCCUGCAUUCAUAAGAAGGAAUUUAGUGAAAUUAAAUGUAUUGUGGUGCAAAACAACCAAGUAUCAGCUUGUCAAUGGAUUGGGAAGAAACUAGUGUAGAUAAUUUAGGUAAUGGAACUAUGAAAUGUAAUACCGAAAAGCACUAACUGUAAGAGGGCAGGAACUCAGAUUCAAAUCAUCAUUUCUCCAUGAUCCCCAAUUUUCAGUAAAAAGUGGCCACAUCCAAUGAGUCACGUCUUUCCAGCAAACCUAUGCCCAAAAAGGAACAGAAAAGAAAACUAAUAAAUGAGCUGGACAUUAAACCAAUAUGAUUACAUAGAAGAAAGAAGAAUAAAGACCAAUUACUUUUUUUGUUAAGAAUACUUCAAAGCCAUAUGUUUUUAAAGCACAGUUGCACAAGUGAGUGAAAAGGUUAUACUGAGCAAGUUGAAGACACCUUGUUAAUAGGAGCUGCUUGAAGAUAUUCAUAGAGAAGGGGGAGCUCUUUUCUGAAGUGAACCUCAAAUGAUGAGGGCGCACUAUAAUAUAUAAAGAAAAAGUCAAACAUAAAAAACAUUUUCAAAAAUAGAUGCUCGUAACCAAAACUGUUUUUCCUUAUUUUGAUAAGUAGAAGAACUAAGAUCAACUAAAAUGAAUCUAGCAAUCAAUAGAUGUCUCCUAUAAGUCAACAUUCAGAAUAGCAAAUUUUAUAAGCUCCAAUAGCUUGUAGUUAUGGUAAAUAGUCUUGGAGACCAAAAAUGAGGAGCUAUCAGUCUUCAAGAAAGAUAAGGGACAGUAACUCUCCCUCAAAUCUCUGUUGCUUAUUUUCAUUCCGUACCUCCAUCCACAAAUUAAAAAGAUAGAAAUGAAGAAAAAAAGAAAAAAGAAAAGGGGAAAAAGAAAAAAGAAAUACUUAUUGACAUAAAAGCUAAUUUUCGCAAUGGCUUGACCCAUUUGUAAUGCAAUAGAAGAUGGCUGACUAAUGCAAAUGAGACUUUUGCAAUGAAAAAUUUGUAAACCAUAUUUUUUUCCCCAUGAAAAAGUUGAAGUUUGAGAUUUUCCUUUUCUCUAAUAGACAUUUAAGAAGUAAUGCCAAACCACUACAAAGGUCCACCCCAUAGAUUGCAUAACCCUUGGUCUUUUAUUUUUUGAAAUGGUUUCAAGUAAAGGUUUUUAGAAAUAUAAAUAGCAUUCCCCAUAUCAAUGCCUGCUUCCCCCACCACCUCCUCUAUGUUUGCUUCAGGACUUGAAUCUUCUAUGAGUUUUUAACUAUACUAUGGAAGACUUGCUGUUCCUAGUUUUCUCCAUGAUCCAAAAAGUGCAAAUUUACCUCAUGAGGUCUGCAACUCUACGUUACAAUUCCCAACCUCAGUUCCUUCCUAUCAAACCCAAUGAAUUCCUUCAAAGACUCUUUUUAAGAUGCAUCCAUCACCAAUAAUCCCCCCAGAGAUUAGCUUGCCUGUUUUCUCCCUCAUUCAUCAUGACAUGUCUGUCCCUAGAAAAUCAUCAAUUCUUAGCAUAAUGGCAUUGUAGAGAGGAGGUUGAUAUGUUUCAGAUAUCAGCUUUACUAAAAAUCUACUUUUCAUCAGAACUUCUUAUUAUGAAACUAUAAGCCCAUAUUUGUGAAAAUAAAUCCAUGUGUACUCCACCUAUUCCUUUCUUACAUAUAUAUGCACCAUUCAAGUAAACCUGAAACUGACUGUUCUUUUUAUCUAUAUUUGUAUAUGGAUUACAUAUACGUUUGUUUUAUAUUUUGUACAUCCACAACACAAUCAUGAGUUUUGAUAAACUGGAGAAGAACCUCUGUGAUAAAGUCCUUAAGGUACUAAACGAAGGUUGACUAUUAGUUACAAUAUAGAGAAUUCAGCUAAGUAAAAUUAUAAUCUAACGCCACCUGUAUGGAAUAACAUAAGGAGCAGCAACAACACAACGAACAUGAAAAAGUUCUGCAAGGCUCCACCCUUCCUGGAACAGUAUGCAAAGAAAUCCUCUCCUUAUUAGGUGAUACUAGUACUUUUAUAAAUAAACCCACAUAUAUCUUGGUGUACUUUAUAACUUAAAGAAAGAGUAAGGACGCAAAUUUCUCAAGAAGAAAGUACCAAAGCAAAAAAAUUGAUCACAAUAAAAUCCUCCAUGCUUGAGCCAUGUCCAAAAAUUCCUUCAACUGCAGAAUGGCAUUCUUGUCUAUGCUCCCUUGUAAUAAUCUUUUUGUCAAGUGAUAAAGCUAAUCCUUGUGAACCUAUAAAGCAAAAAUAUAUAUUAAGCUAUGAAUAAGAAACAGAAUGCUUAGUUUUAUCCUUCUAACAAGAAAGUCAAUUCUCUUUCCACUAUAGUAGCCUUAUAUAAGAUAUAGGGACAAUAUGGAAAUUGAAACAUGAUGUAACCUGUGGAUUCAUGAUUGUUAUGAACAGAAAGAACAGGUGGUGAUUUAAUAGGAAGGAGGGUAACAUGUCUUCCUUCCAAGUGAGACCUUAAGCUCUGCAAAAAGAGUCAGAAAAUCAUUACCUGCAUGUCCAUUCAAGUGUAUAUUAAGCCAACAAGUACUAUAUUAACACAACCCUGAGAGAAAGAGAGAAGAAAGAAGGUAUGAAGAAAAGAAAUUUUCUUGUUCUUCCUUUUCUUCAGUGAAGAUUAAUAAUGAUCUAAUGUUGUGUUUGUGCAUCAUCAAUUCGGGAAAGAAACCUUAGCAAAAAAAACAAAACUUUCUUAAUUCCAAUUAAUAAAUGAUUCGCUUAUUUCUGAUUAAGUAAAUUCUGGGGAUAUCAGAUAAGGUCAGCUUUUCAAUUUAAUCAACCCAAAGUUGGGUCUGAAUUGCACUUUAUCAUGUUCAUGAUAUAUUUAUUUUUGCCUAACCCAAGAUACAAAUAACCAAAGAAAGACUAGCCAUAGAAGGUGAUGUUUUUCUUCAAGAGCAGAAAACAAAAUUUGAUGCUUCAACCCUAAUCCUGGGCUAAAGGAACUCUGCCACUAAUGUUAACAGACUAGGGAAAAGAGUUCAUAAAUUCCAGCUACAUGCUAGACAUAUUGUUGUAAUGUUCAAUGUUAGAACUUCCACAACACCAGGGAUAAAAAAUAAAUAAAUUUUUUGGAUUACAUGCAAAUGGGGAUGUGUACUUGUUCUCUCUUGGUUGAAAGGGGGGCGAUACGGGGACAAUAAUGGUCCCAAAGCAGGAGCAAAAUGAUACAAAUGAAGAAAUGCAACUGGGAUGCUACACAAUGGUGAAGAAAUCAUCAUAUUGAAGAAUAAACUGAAUUCACAGAACUCAAAUUACGGAAAGUUAUAUGCAACUGUGGUGAUUGUUGGGUAGUGAAGUAAUAACAAAUGAGCCUAAAACAAAUGGCAUUGUUAUCAAUAGAUGUGUGAGAACUGAUAAGAAAAAAACCAUAUAGAAAUAACGAUUGUGUAAAUAAGAAACUAAAAGUAAGUAUCAAUUAAGGAUAAGUUGAGUGAGAGGGACUCAUUAAGACCUAUAUAAGCCAAUGAACGAACAUUAAGGUUUAAAAAGAACAAUUAAGAUUCAACGCAACUUCAAGAAAGUGAAGCACAUGGCUUGAAUAAUCAAUAAGAUUAACAUAUUAGGCCAUCGUAUAUGAACAAAAAAUUAAAGUGCAAAUACUGAAGAGCUUGAAAAUGUGAUGCAGACCUCAUGUGCUGAAUGUGUAACUAAAACCACAUUGUGUCGUUUCUGAUCACAAGCAAAAGCUGCAGCAAUGGCCUGAAAAGGUAAAAGCUUUAGUCAGCUCACAAUCAAGUGAACAGCACAUGCAAAAUCAUUUAAGUAAUUGGGAAACUGGUAUAUGAGAGCUAGAUGGAUAAAUGGGUAAAAGUUACAUAAUCAGAAUCAAGCGUUGAAAACAGGUAAAAGAUCAUAAAUAUUAUUGACUAAGCAACCAAAAUGAAGUUGAGUAAUUACUGCAAUUGGGUAGACAUCGCCUUUGGUGCCAAAAGCCAUAAAAAGAGCCACUGGUUUCCUUUUCUUUUCCAUUUCUGCUUCCAUUUCUUUGCACUUAGAAACUGCGAAGAGAACUGCGGCACAACCGUAACUGCCUUCGGAGCUAUGGACAUUUCAAUGUGGGCUUGUUAUGGACCCAAAUACAGUUCGGCGCUUGGAUUGACCAUUUAAGUUUAGGGAAGUUUGCAAAGAUAUCCUAAAAUUAAUUAUAAAAAAAAGUAUUAUUUUUCCUGUCUAAUUUAAAAAAAUAUAUUAUUUUUUAAAUUUUUUUAAAUAUGGUACAAUUGUUUUUCAGUUAUUUUAAUUUUUUUUAUUCUUUAAUUAUUUUUUGCAAUCAAACAAAAAUCAAAAAACAAUCAAAAUCGUAUUUCUAAAAAAAGUUAAAAAACCCUAUUGUUGAUAUCUUAGUACAAUAAAAUAAAAAAAAAUUUAACACCAUAUCUUUUAUAAAAAAUUAAGAAAUAUAGAUAUUUUUGUUAUUUUUUCUCAAGUUUAUACAUUUUAAUAAGAAAAAAAUCCACGCUAAACUUUUGUUUAUAGCUUGAUUAAAAUAUAGAGGAAUUAUUAUACGGUCCUAAUACAUCACGUCCUCAAAUAACUGAUUCAAUUAAAUAAUGACACCUAAUUUAUUUUUAUAAAAUAAUUAAAAAAUUAAUAAAACAGUUAUUUUAAAAAAUAAAAAUGAAAUAGAAAAAAUAAAAUAAAAUAUUAUUAUUUCACUCAGUGAAUAAGUAGUCUUUUGAUGAAGUGGUAAAUCAAUUCUAUACAAUAAUUUCUUAAAAAGACGAGCGAAUCGAUAAACUGGUCAAUCGGAGAUUUUGAACACUACUUGAUAAUUUAACUAUUAUAAAAUGUACUAAAAUUUUGGACCAUAUAUUCAAUUGGUAUUAUUAUUUUAAUAUCUUUUUCUAAAUGCUACUGUACUUUUUGAUUUAUGUUUCAAUUUGAGGUAAAAAAGGGGAUUUCAGCUAAUUCUAUCUGAUGUGGAAACCAGAUUUAGUAUAUCUUUUUUAUAUUCAUCGCAUUAGCAAACACCUAAUGGACACAUUAUUGGACAUUUUAGUAAUUUGACAUAAUAGGUUGGAGUCUCUUCAAAAGGACCCUUGAGAUGAUUUUGUAAAACACUGUACACAGACUGACAGGUUAAGUCCAUGUUUCUGGGACUCUUAUUUUCAGGAACCAAACAGGUAAUUGUGUGGUUUGCACUCUUUAACAUCCUGCCAUGAGAAAGAAAAAAAAGACUUUCAUUACUGAAAAUAAGUCAUCUUUGAGGAGAGGCCAAUUUUGUUGGGAGUUGUUGGAAGAAGGCAGCAGUGAAUCCGUCCCACCAGGGGCUUUAUCCCUGGUAAAGAAGAAAGACCCUGGUGAACUUCCAUCAAAGAAACCUCUCUACUAACGUCCAUGUUCAUAUCAUCCGAAACUCAAGGUAUCAUUCCUUGAGAGACUAUUCCAGAAAGAUUAGGAUUGGAGGAGUUGAAAAGGUAAUUGAAGUAAUCAGUUGCAAUAGCCACUAUAGCUUUCAGAUCACUCUAAAAAACACCCUUAGCAUUCUCUAAGCCCCAGAUGCUGUUCCUAGCUCUCUGCUGCAUGGUUUUUGCCUGGAAAAAAGUCGUGUUCUUGUCUCCCAUUAUGAGUCAGUACACCCUUGACUUUCUUAUCCAGUCAAUUCUUCCUUCAAUUUUAAUUCUUCCUCUUUGAUUCUGUCGUGAUCCAGAUUCUGCAAGUCAUUCCUGAGCUCCUUAAUAUCCUCGGUAAGUUGGUCAAUGUUCCCCCUACUACUUGCUGCAGCACCCUUCCUUCGGUUGAUCAUCUCUUUACGACAAGAAUAAAAAAAAUUGAAAUUAAAUAAUUAGAAGGAUAUAACUGCAAUUUAAUUAAUUUAUAAAGGGCAUAGUUAUAAAAAACAAAAUUUAUGGGGAGGCUGCUAAAUACUUUUUAUUUUAAAAGAUAAUCAAAAACCUUUAUAGGUAAAUUUAUAGUUAGAAAAUAUUUAGAGGCCAAAGCACGUCUAGUUCCACCUCUGAGUUUAUAAGAAUUUGGAUGUUAUUAGUUGCAUAUGCAAUUUUUUUGUUUUCUUUUUUAUUUUAAUUAUAAUUUUUAAUUUUUAACACCUAAAACAUUAAAUUUUUUUAUUAAUAUAAUAAAAUACUUCUUCCGUCCUAAAAAAAAUUCAUACUCAAAAAGUAAUUAAUAUUAUUACUAUUUUUCGAAAAUAUGCCUAUUGUUUUAUAAAACUAAAAUACUUUUAUUUGGGUUGUUUUUAUUUUAAAAUGUAAAAAACGAUAAAAACUAUCAUUUUCAAAUAUCGUUACAUAUGAUAAUAUCUAUACAAAUUAAUAAAAGAAUACAUUUAAAAUUACUUAUUAAACUAAAAGUUAAAUAAAUAAAUUACAAUUGAGGACGGAUGGACCAAAAAGGGGAAAGGAACCAUCUUUUUUUCAGAACGUAGAGCAUCUCUUUAGGUAAACUAGAGAAAACAGGUUUCUCUUUUGCUCUCAAGAAUAGAUGACAAUCAAGAUUAACCAACAAAGACGUAGAAUAUAACACCACCAUAUUAGACAAAGCCAACAGAUCUAUCUACAAUAUCAAUAACCAACAACAUAGGAAAAUGGGUUGUCAUAAAUUCAAGUACUCAUUCGUCUAGUUCCAAAUAAGUAAAACUAACAAAAAGAUUUAACAUUUGUUGCAAAGAUUCCAUAAUAAAGAAAGAACAAUAUGGAAUCUCAUAUAUUUUCUUGUAAAAAAAUGAAUUUGUCUCCCUUUUGUGUUGUUCAGAAAUGUAUGCAUGUACACAUUCUGUUUUUCUGUAUCUUCUCUACUAUCUCUCCUCAGUUUAAAACUGAUGGCUAGCUGUUGUUGGCCUCAGGGUGAUCUGAGUUGUUUUUGUACUUUCUCAUGAGCUGGGUUAGCUCAUUUUCAAACUCCUUUUCCAAGUUAAGCAACUCCUCACAACAUCUCUUUAUAAUUACAGCCUUCUUGUCUUCAUGACUUUUUAUCAGCUUCUCCCUCUCCAUUUCCAUCUCUUUAUCCCCGAGGCUGACGUUACAUACAAUGUUCUCCGUCCUAUUCGCACAGCAAUUUCAAAACAUUGCAAUAAGCUCAAAAGUGUUAUGGAUUUUCCACUUUUUCAACAUGAUGAAAAGGCAUACAUUUCUUAUCAGAUAGAAAGGAGUUGCAACUAUUAUGAGAGAUUGCAAUGUAGCAUAAGACUUUCCUUUUCAGCUAUAUGCCAAACCUCCAUCAUUGCACAAACGAACCAAUAUCUCCAUGAAGUAUUAAACCUUAGACACUUAUUAUUGAAGGAGAGUGUUAGCUUAGCAUGGGAAAUAGGGGGAGGCAGUAUUACCUGUGUGUCUCCUUUAUGGCAGAGAGAUUUGCAUUUGGCUGCCCAACUUUCUCCUGAUUUGCCUGUUGUAACUUCUCAAAUUUACCUUGCUUUGCAUCUAGAGCUUGAUGAAAAAGUUUGAUUUGAUCCAUGAAAAAUUGUUCUUGUGAAUUCAUCUGAACGAGGACGGAUGAACAAGAAAUAAAACACUAAGAAAUUAAUCCGAGUGCAGAAGUAUUAAGCAGAGAGAAAAGGAGAAUUGGGCUUGUUCUUCCAUCUUGCUGAAAUUUUACUUGUGUCAUUUGCAUGAUUAGAUUACAAUCUAAGGGGGAACAUGGAAGAAUUGGAAGACCCGGACAUACCAAUGAGACUAUUAAUAAUAGAUUAAUAUCAUGAUGUGUUGCAUUAGUAAUUCUGUAGAACACAGAAAAUGGCCUAUGAGGUAUCUGAGAUUUUUGAGAAAUGCCUGCUAUCCUAAACAGCAUAAACAAUUUCCUCAGAUCAGAGAGGUGACGCAGGAACAAGAAGCUUGCGUGUUUUGAGCAUGUUUUCUUCUUUCUUUAUUUUCUUACUUUAAUCCUUUUCAGAGACGAGUUCAAAUUGUCUAAAAGCCUUUUAACUGUCAGAUGUUAGCAUGUAAGACUGAUAUCCAUAUAAACAUAUGCCAUAGAAAUGAAUCCUCGCAGAGAUUUAGUACCUAGAAUUCGUGAUAGUACACGGUUGGCACAGCUUCCUUGCAUCUAACACAUCAAUUUAAAAAAAAAAAAACAAAUAUACCAAUGCCAAAGACUGUCUAAGAAGCUCUUNNNAGAAGCUCUUGAUAACAGAGUUCUCAUGACAGGGGUACUUAACAAUUGAAGUCACAAUAAGAUCACAAGUUUCAUUAACUUUUGUUUGUUUACAAGAAUGCAGGUGAAUUAUGAAACACAUAACAACAAUAGAAACAACUUGCAGUUCGAGAAUAUUACCUCUUCUUUGUUCUCUUCCAGCAGGAAUCUAUUUUGCUGUCUCAUACUGCGGUUUUUUUCUGUAGUCUUGCGCAAUUCCUCACUCAGCCAGAUUACUGAUUCAGCUAAAAUUUGUAAAUGCUUUUGUUCUUUAGCCAUCUUGUCCUUACACUUCUCAAGCUGCUGAUUAUUCUCAUUUAUUUGCCCUAUUUUUUUCUCAACCAUCUCUUGGUAUGACCUCAUCUCAAAUUUCAGCUUGGACCUCCCUAAUAAAUUAUUCACGAUAAAAGAAGUUACCAAAAUCAAUAAGGGAAGGGGGAAGCAGAGAAGCUAAGAGCAACUAAAAUUUAUUGCACUACCAUUUUUUCCAAGAACUAUUUAUGAAAAGUCAGCUGGGAAAGCUUAGUAUGCACAUGCUUCACAUAUUGACAUUCAAUUUCCUUUUACUUUCUUUUCAAUCAUUUUAUCAAACUAAACAUUUCUGGAAAUUACGUGAUGAUAGCAACGUGGCCUUAGCACAUAUGUUCAGACUCAUCUUAUGCUGAAAAGUAUGGAUUUAUGGCACUAUGCAUCUCCCACAUAGAUCAUAGAAGUGAACAACUUGCAUAAUUACACACACAGAGAUGGGUAUAGAUAUAGAGUACCUUGUGAGUGCUGGUUGAAAAAUUCCAAAUCUUCUUUUGAAGCCAUGUAUCCAUAGAGUUGGCGCUUCCCGCCGGAACAGAAAGGAAAUCUAUUACUUUUCCAGGCUUCCCUGUCUCUUCCUUGCUCUUUGAAAUGCUUAUGCAGGCGAGCAGCCUCUAAAUAACCUGCUGUGGAGUCAUCAAAAAUCAACAUACUCAUGCCCCUAUGCCCUUGGGGACCAUAUGAAUGCCGGGCCUUCAAUGCAGCAUAUGGUUUGAAGUGGUCCAAAAGCUCCUGGUUACCCAUUCCAAUCCACUGCCAGAAUCCAAUUUAGUAGAAAACUAUUAGCUGUAUCAGACUUGUGAAAUACUGUCAAAUAAAGCAGUCAUUGUUCAUUCUACUUACAUUUCUGUGAGAUAACCUGCCUAGAACAAAUAGAAUCAAUUUUUAGGAAACAGGAAAAAAUGCAUUACCUUGCCAUUUUCCUUCUGCUCAUGUCUUGUGUUCAUGAUGACAAUCAUUGGAGGCCAAACUAUUUCAUAAUCUUUUACUCUCUCGUUUAGACCUUGCCAUCUACCAAAGGCUACACCAACUGGUGCGACUGACAUUCCCCUCUUCCGUGUCUCCUCAUUCAAAAAUUCAGCAAAUACGCGAUGGAGCUUUACCCUUCUUGUCUUUCUUGUCACGGCGUGAUGCAUUAGGGGCUCUAGUCCUCGGUACCAGUCAAUGGCACCAGGACCCCCUUUGCAAGCAGGGCAAUGCCACUUUCUUGCCGUUGAGUUCAACUCCUCAAUAUUCAAUUUAUUUAAAUCAUCAAAGAAUGACUCGAACCAGUUCCUCCUCUUGCAUCUCUGAUUGCUGGUUUCACUUGUAACUAAAUCUGAAUCGUAAUCAAGUAGAUCAUCAUCAUCACUGCUGCCAAACACAAUUUGAUCAUCAUCAUCGUAGUCAUCAUUCUUGCAAGCAAUGCUUUUCUUAUCAUGACCAGCACCACCAGCUGGGAAUCUUGGAAGGUUUUCAUCCUUCUCCUUUCUCGGCUCCCCAGUAUUUAACGGAGUAGAACCAACUUGAGAAGCAGCCACACUGCAUCCCUGCUCAAGGUUUCUGUUCUGUGUAGAGGACAGUUCAUGUCCACAGCUCGAUAAAUUUUUAGAAUCAGCAGUUUGAGUUGUCCUGGAAUUACCAUUACACUGCAUUCGCAGCUUAUGCAUCAAGUUAGGACAUCCCCACACGCUAGCAGUAGAACUCCGCGUACCAAUCUGUGAAGCUAUCACAUUGAUGUUUGCUGCAUCUAUACUCAGUUGCUUAACAUAGCUACCACCAGAACCUUUUCCGUACACAGUCCCCAGCAGAGGAAAUGGAUUAGGAUCACUGUUAUCAUUCAUUAUGUGUGCCAUUAAGUGCCUUUGAUUUCUAGAAACUUUCUUUAUCAAAUACUGUCCUGGAUACCAUUUUCUCAAGAAAAAAAAAUCAGUUCAAUAAUUUUUCUUUCAAACAAAACACCACUCACAACUCAGCGCCAAACGGAACCCAUCUUUAUCUCAACAAUAUCAAGCAGUUUUAUUCAAAAUCCACCCAGAAUGAAUUAGUUAAGAACCAAAAACUCUGCAAGUAUUUUUAAAUAUUAAACAAGAACAAAAGAAAGCCAUAGGACGCUAGCAAUGACGUGGUGUUAUUUCAUAUAGUUUAUUCUACCGAACCAAUUCUUUUUAUAUAUAUAUGUAUUAGAAAAUAAGUAUCAAGAUUCAAGAAACAACCAAAAGAAUAACUUUUCUUAAAAAAAAAAACAGUGACAAUUUGUCUGACAUUUUAUGGGUGUUAACAAUAGGCGAAAAAGUUACCUGACAAACAGAUUAUCUAAGUUAUAAAUCCAUUGGUGCUUAAAAGAAACAUUUUGUCAUAUAACUUGCAAACAAACAUAAAACUGAACUGUUUCAACAAUACGUAAUAAAUCUAAAAAAAUAACAGCUUUUUCUUUGAAAGCAUCAAGACUCUGUCAUUAAAUAAAUAAAUAAAAUCAAUAAAUCAGAAUUUUUUUUUAAAAGAAAAAAACAGAAAAGAAAAAGGCACUACCCAUCAACAUAUCCAUUAUACAAUAAGCAAAUAGCUAAAAAAGAAAAAGAAAAAAAGGAGUUUUUGAUAAUGGUUUUGCAUGCAAAAGAAAUGCAAAAAGACUACAAAUAAGAAAGACGAUGAUGAUAGUGAUGAUGAUGAUACCUAUUGCUGUUGCGUUGAUUUUAAUGGGUAUUAACUAUCAUAUCAAAACACACACAUCAUCAGCAAAUUUUAGCUCCGCCGCCGUUAAAAUAAAAAAAAAUUAUUUAUUUUUUUUUUAUUUUGUUAAUUUGUUUUUAUCUUUGCUAUUAUAUGGGCCGCAAGCGUUGUCCCUGUGGCACCAUUCAGUUCACACGCCCAAAAUUCUCUUGGUUAAUUUCUAAAACGUCCCUGAGGUUUAUGGUAAGGUUAGUUUUAGUACUGUUGUUUCAAAAUUUACAAUUUUAUAUUUUAGUCCUUACUUUAUACAAGUAUAUAAAAAAUUAUCCUUAUCCUGAAUUUGAUUAUGUUUUAAUCUAUAAGUUAAUCUACAAUAUGAAACUCCAAGCUCAAAAACCUUAAUAUAAAAUUGCUAUAACACUUGUAAUUAUAUAUAUGGAAAUGUUUUCAGUUCAGUUUAGGAAGAAUUCAAUGAACAUAAAAAAAAAAUAAGUAUAUAAAAAGUGGUAGGGUGCAACAAACAACCAUUUUACUGAUGCUUAUAAAUUGAAUAAGUAAUAUAUUUAGUUUAUUAGAGUUAUAACUUUCUUAACUAGAAGUAAUUUUCUUGGUGUCUUAAAGUAACAAAAGAUUUAAAUCUCUAGAUUUAAUUAAAUGGUAGAUAUAUAUUUCAACUUACGUCAGAAAAAAUUUCAAAUUCAAAUUUUUUUCUUUUUUUUAUAUAUUUAAAAAAAAAGCUUCAAUCAAAUUUCAGUAUAAGAUCUCUCUACAAAUAUAUAGCAAGGAUAUUAAAAAACCGUCACUGAAUAAUCAAGAAUUACUUCUAUAGAGACAUAACUUGUUGUCGUUAAAUAUUCUUAAGGUUCUCUCCCUCUUUAUAGGAGUUAAAAGAGGAUGUGUAAAUUUGAUAUUUAAAAAUAAUAUCUAAAUCUAAAAAUCAUAUGAUAGUUAAUUUAAGAAUUAAAUAUGAUGAUGGAGUGCAUCCUAAAGGAAUAUUCAUAUAGUUCGUUUAAGAAUUCAAAAUGUUGUAUGAGUUUUUAAAUACACAUGCAUUUUGGACACAACUGAAAGCUACUGCUAAUGUCAAUAUACAUUGAAAAGAAGAAAAAAGUAUCGUUAUGGUCUGCUUGAUUGUAUUAGAACAAUAUAAUAUUAUCAUGCUCAAGAAUAUUCAAACAACAAGAAGAACAUUCUAAUGAAUAAUGUGGGCAUUAUUGAAUAGCUUUUAGGGCAUUUCUGUGGAUUAUAUCCCAUAUAGGAUGAUAAUAAUAAUAAUAAUAAAAAUUUCAGAAACAUUUCAAAAUCUCAGUUAUUAGAUCUAACGACAGGUGGGUUAUGAAUAGGUGGAGUCUGUCCGGACGGAGGAACUUCUCCCUUAGGCAGCAUCCCAAAGUUCCAAUGCUUCAGCAAUGAUGUUGGGUCAUGAAUAGGAGGAGUUUGUCCCGAUGGAGGGACAAUUCCUUUUGGCAACAUCCCAAAGUGUGGAGGGUCAUGAAUAGGUGGAUUCUGUCCGGAUGGAGGAACUUUUCCUUUAGGCAACACCCCAAAAUUCCAAUGCUUCAAAACUGAUGUUGGGUCAUGAGUAGGAGGAGUUUGUCUGAAUGGAGGGACAAUUCCUUUUGGCAAUAUUCCAAAGUGUGGGGGGUCAUGAAUAGGUGGAGCCUGUCCGGAUGGAGGAACUUCUCCCUUGGGAUACUCCCCAAAAUUCACACGACUAAAUGGUAGUUUUGGGGGUGGUGGAGAAUGAAUAUGUGGGUCAGGCCCGGAGGGGGGAAGAGGACCUUUAGGUAGCAUCCCAAAAUUCAAUCUAGCAUCAGCAAGGGAACAGGCAAAAGCAAAAACCAACACUACCCAGAAACAAUUCGCCCUGAUUUCUGCCAUUGUUUUUUUCCCUUGCCUUCUCACUUCCACUACAAUGGUGCAUCAGGAAAUGCUUCCUAUAUCCCUUUAUAUAAGAAUCGACGAGCAUUGAAAGAAAUUAAUUGAAAUCUGUAUAUGGUAUUUAUUUCUUGGCAUUUUAAUUCUGUGAUUCUGUUCCAUCUAAAAUGGGAAAUGAAUAGCUUAUUUCUUCCAUAUACUCCAGAUUUAUUGGAUUUCCAUUGCAAUAUGCUGUUUCAUUCUAUAUUGGAAAAAAAUCCAAGAAUCCAUUUUUCCUGUAUUGAAUAUGCAUUUACAUAUAUGGAUGCCUGCAAUUUUUCUGGUUAGGUGGGGAUCCAGUUAUUCUCAGUCUGCUCAGUUUAGCCGCAUAUCACUCUUGCAUCUUGUUAUCUAAAUUAUGUACCCUUUAAUUCUUGUUAUCAUUUUAUCAAUUGUGAGAUAUUAAAUUAGUAUAAGCUUUUUCUUUGUAGAAAGAUUUAGAAUUUUAAAAGUAAAAAGAAGACAAUUUGUUGAAUUUUUCAGUUUUAAUGAAAAGAAAAAAAACUUAGGUAUGCAUUGAUGGAAAGUAAUCUAAUGCGAAUGAAAAAGAAUCGCUUUUAAAUACUUAAAAAACGCAUCUUCUAGAAAUUAAAAUUAAUUGUAUUCCAAUUUGAGCGAUUCAGAAAAAGGUAUUAAAAAUUAACUAAUUACUAUAAUUUAUUUUUAAUAAAAAAUUUGAAAUCUAAAUAAUUCUUUUUCCUUCCCUUUAAUAAUUACUUCCUAUAUGGUCAAACACAAAAAUAAAAUAUCUUUAUUAUUUGACUCUUUUUAAUUUCCUCUAAAAUACAUUCACCUCUCAGCCAUCUUUGCCAUGCAUAACAUAAAAGAAUGGGAGAGAGUCAUUUCUAAUUCAAAAAUUAAUGAUUAAAAUAUAAUUUAUUUUAUUUAUAAAAGGAGUAUCAGCGCAUCUCUUGAAUAAUUUCAAAAAUAUAUUAGUUUCGAAUGGCACAAAGUAAAAAAGAAAUAUUGCUAUUUGCAUCCAAUACUUUUUUUCUUUUUUUUUUGUGCAAAUGCUAUUUUGAAAAUUAAAAUCUCAUACAUUGAAAAUUAAAACAUUUUUAAGUAAACAUGCUGAUGUUCAGAUGGCAAGAAUCAUGGUUGUGGUUAAACAUGUUUAUGGGCAUGAAUAGCACUGAAUCCAUCCCUUUUAAAAUAUCGUAUAUAUAUAUAUAUAAUUAUAAAAUUUAAUGUUGUAGUUUAACCUUUUGAUAUAAAGAGUUUUUUGUUUUUUUUUCUUUUGUGACAUUUUUAGUAUUAUAAAAAUUAAACUGUUAAUAAUUUUGUAUUUAAAUUUAUUAACACCGUUAGUUCAAUUUGUGUUGUAACUUUUAUUUUUAUUUUUUUACAUUUUGGUGGCUGAACUAUUUUUUUGUUCAAUUAAGUAUUUAAACCUAUUAAAAAUGUUCAAUAUAGUGUUUUUAGCCGAUUUUACAUAUUAAAGUGCUUAAAUUACUUAUUUUGAACAGUAAUUUGAUUCAAAUACGCUUUUUUAAAAUAAUAUCAUAUUUUUUUUCUUUUUUUAUCCAUNNNNNNNNNNNNNNNNNNNNNNNNNNNNNNNNNNNNNNNNNNNNNNNNNNNNNNNNNNNNNNNNNNNNNNNNNNNNNNNNNNNNNNNNNNNNNNNNNNNNNNNNNNNNNNNNNNNNNNNNNNNNNNNNNNNNNNNNNNNNNNNNNNNNNNNNNNNNNNNNNNNNNNNNNNNNNNNNNNNNNNNNNNNNNNNNNNNNNNNNNNNNNNNNNNNNNNNNNNNNNNNNNNNNNNNNNNNNNNNNNNNNNNNNNNNNNNUAAUUUUUACAUAAUUUAGAGAGAAAAAAAUUGAAAAAGGAGACAAUAAUCUAACAAUUUUUUUUUAAUUUUAGUAAGCUACGAUAAAUUUUGGAUAAUCUGACAAUUAGAAAACUUUAUAUUUCACCAUCUAUCCGACAAGACCAAUUUUGCAGCAAUUAGACUUUAUUUAGAAUUUAAUUACUAAGACUAUUAACGGUAUUAAUGAAUUCAGGCUAAAAUUACUAGUGAUGUAAUUCUCAAAAUAUUAAAAUGUCACCAAAAAAUCUAGAGAACUUCUUAUGUCAAAAGAUUAAAUUAUAUAGUCAAAUUUUAUACUUUCUCCUAUAAUUUUUUUAUUAAGUAAGCAUUAGUUCAAAUUCAAAAGAACAAUUAUUUUUUAAUGGAUUCAAUCAUGUUAUACUUUAAUUUAAAAAGUAUGGUUUGAAUAAGUAAUAUAAAAAAAACUAUAAUGAUAUAUUAAAAAUUAUUUAAAUAAUUAUAUCAAAUUAAAUUUAAAUUCAAAAAAAUCAAACUCAACCAAAAUAGUCUCAAAUCUAACUUAGUAGGACAAUCGAAUAGGCGUAGUUGUGGUGCAUUGGCCAUAUGAGCAGCUUUUCUACAUGGAGGGACAAAAGCCUGAGACAACAUAUCCAAAUGCCUAAAUUGUGAUUAAUAUAAGGAGUAAUGUUUUUCCGUAUUACAAAUACUUACUCUUUAAUAUUUAAAAAAAAAAUUAUACUUUUUUUAUUUUUUUAUUUUAUAAGUUAUACUAAAAAUCUCUUCCGUCCGAAUUCUCAUUAAACAAUCGUUAAUUAGAUUUGAUUUUAUACUAUUUACUUCUGAUUUUUAAUAUAAUAUACUGAUUGCCCUUUGUAUUUAUUUAUAGUACUAAAAUUUUUUUACAUUUUAAAAUUUAAUAUAAUAAAAAAUUAAAUUGAUAAAAAUUAUAAUUGGAUCUUUAAACUUUUUACUAAAGUUAUAAUUUUAGUGUAACAAAAUUAAUAAAAAUAAUAUCUAUUUUAUUUUAAUAAUCUAAAGUUAAAUUAUAUGAAUUUUUAAUAUUUUAAUAAAUAUAAGUACUUUUAAAAUAUUAAAAUUUUACUACAAUUCAAUUAUGCUAAAAAUUAGAGUAAAUAAAAGAAUAUUAGUUAAUUAUUUUUAUACAUAAACUAAAAUUAUUUUCUGUGUAGAAAUUAGAUAAGAGGUAACUAGUGUAAUAAGUAAACUACAAGGAGUAAUUUGUAUAUUAUCAAAAAUUAAGAGACAAAUAGUAUAAAAUCAAACUUAUUAAUGAUUAUUUAACAAAAAUUAUGACAAAGAGAUUUUUUAAAAUUAUAAAAUAGAAAGCCAAGAAAAUAUAUUUUUUAAAUAUUAAAAAGUAACUGAUAUAAUAUGAAAAAAUACAGAAUGCGAAUAAUAAUUACCCCUUAAUAUUGUCACGACCCCAUCUGUGGGCCCGUGACUGGCACUAGGGAAUGGGUAGGCGUAAGGCCACCGAAUCCCGUUGUAAGCCUGACACUCACUAACUCAAUUAAGUCUCGUCUCAUUUUACUGAUACCACAAUUAUCUUAACAGUUAAAUUUUUACAUAAUUAAUUCGGUCUGCCAGAAGAAUUAGGCUAGACCAGAAAAUACAAAGCAUUACAAUUGAUACAUCUACUAUUUAUAUUGUGAAGAAUCUAAGAAUUUAUAAAUUUACAUACCAAAUCAAAUACAUCACCGAUGACGAAGGAGUCGGGUUACUAGAUAAGAGUCGUGGGAAGACUAACAGUCACGGAUCUGAAAAACAAUGAAAUUUAGACUGUCAGGUUCAAGAGUGAGUUAAAAUCAUAUAUCUAAAAACAUUUGCAUAUACUUCGAUCAUACAUUUAUUUAAUUUAAAAUAAGCAUUAAGUCAUAUAAAAACACACGUGUCACACCAUGCUUAAAUUAAAUAAAAUAAUUUUCACACGCUACGGGACAGAGUACUCUAGUAGAACCCUAAUCCCAACACAAACAUCUCGAUCAAUCUCCAUACUGACAUCUCAACUAAUCUCAACUCUAACAUCCCGACUAAUCUCAUUCCAAUAGGACUGGCGCCCAGAGAGCAAAGCUCGAUCAAGGUCCUUAACUCUAGUCUGGUCAUUUAAUGUUCACUACCAGCCUUAGCUUUUCAGCUUUCUUAUUCCAAUAACACUGGCGCCCAGAGAGUGAAGCUUGACCAGGGACUUUACCUCCAGUCUGGUCAUUUAGGUUUCUAAAUAAGCCGGCGCUCAGAGAGCAAUGCUUGACUAGGGACCUUUACUCUGGCAACCACACUCUACUAAGCCUAGAGAGCGAUGCUUGACCAGGCAAAUCCUAAACCUUCCUUUUUAAAUUUACCUAUUUAUCCUUUUUCAUCACUCUCAGAUUUAUAUCGGAACACUCAUCAAACUCUUAUGUUCUACUGUCGUCCCAUCCCGAGUCAACAUAAAAUCAAUAAAAAUUGUAAUGCAGAAAAUGAAGCAAGCAUAAACAGUACAUAAUCAAUUAGUCAAAAUAUUAAUCAUUAAAUCAGAGAUAUCAUAUAAAAUAUUUACAUGAUACGCGUAAGCAGAUAUAUGACUUUAACUCAUAGCUUUGGCGACCUCCUAGCUCUGCUCCGGUGCCUCGAUUGGAGCGAGCCGAACAGACGGAUUAUCGAGACGCUUGAUCGCUCGGUCGACUCGCUUUCAACCGCCGGAGUCCGAUCGAUGAUCUGAACUCAUCAUCGGACUCGAAACGACGCACUGAUGACGAUCCCCACUUCUGAUUUUCCGAUCCGACCCCCGAUCACCCGGAGAGAUUUACAGACGAUCUCGGCCGUCGAUUUGCAAAUGUAGUCCGAUCGCCAUAAAACUGGUGCCAUUGCAAAGCUUGAGCUGAGGGGAGUCGGGAUAUGUCAUCCGAUCAUCCAUCCUCCACCGGAGCUUGCCGGAAAAGCCGGAAAACACGGCUGCCACCUACUUCGCCGCCCUCCUUCGGCCACCAAAGUCGACGCCGCCACCGCCGAAAGGAAGCUCUCGCCGAGAGGAGAUCGCCACCAGAGUCAGCGGCUACUGUCGCCAGAAUCGCACUCACGCCGGCAAGGAAGUUUCGGCUGCCUCCUUCCUCGCGCGUGCUGUCGCCGCCGCCCGCUGGUGCCACUGCCGUCACUGCCGCUGGACUCGUCGACGCCAGCAGCGCCAUCGUCCGGCAUAGCGUGCCCGGCAGUCGGCCGCCACCGGUUGGACGACGCAGCACUAGCUUCUUCCUCUUCUCCGGCCUUCCUUCUCUCUCCUCGAUUCUUCUUUUCUUUUCUUCUUCUCCAUAUCGACAUUUAGUCCCUGAACUNNNNNNNNNNNNNNNNNNNNNNNNNNNNNNNNNNNNNNNNNNNNNNNNNNNNNNNNNNNNNNNNNNNNNNNNNNNNNNNNNNNNNNNNNNNNNNNNNNNNNNNNNNNNNNNNNNNNNNNNNNNNNNNNNNNNNNNNNNNNNNNNNNNNNNNNNNNNNNNNNNNNNNNNNNNNNNNNNNNNNNNNNNNNNNNNNNNNNNNNNNNNNNNNNNNNNNNNNNNNNNNNNNNNNNNNNNNNNNNNNNNNNNNNNNNNNNNNNNNNNNNNNNNNNNNNNNNNNNNNNNNNNNNNNNNNNNNNNNNNNNNNNNNNNNNNNNNNNNNNNNNNNNNNNNNNNNNNNNNNNNNNNNNNNNNNNNNNNNNNNNNNNNNNNNNNNNNNNNNNNNNNNNNNNNNNNNNNNNNNNNNNNNNNNNNNNNNNNNNNNNNNNNNNNNNNNNNNNNNNNNNNNNNNNNNNNNNNNNNNNNNNNNNNNNNNNNNNNNNNNNNNNNNNNNNNNNNNNNNNNNNNNNNNNNNNNNNNNNNNNNNNNNNNNNNNNNNNNNNNNNNNNNNNNNNNNNNNNNNNNNNNNNNNNNNNNNNNNNNNNNNNNNNNNNNNNNNNNNNNNNNNNNNNNNNNNNNNNNNNNNNNNNNNNNNNNNNNNNNNNNNNNNNNNNNNNNNNNNNNNNNNNNNNNNNNNNNNNNNNNNNNNNNNNNNNNNNNNNNNNNNNNNNNNNNNNNNNNNNNNNNNNNNNNNNNNNNNNNNNNNNNNNNNNNNNNNNNNNNNNNNNNNNNNNNNNNNNNNNNNNNNNNNNNNNNNNNNNNNNNNNNNNNNNNNNNNNNNNNNNNNNNNNNNNNNNNNNNNNNNNNNNNNNNNNNNNNNNNNNNNNNNNNNNNNNNNNNNNNNNNNNNNNNNNNNNNNNAAAAAAUUUAUUAUUUAGUUGUAUUUCAAAUAAUAAUAUAUAUAAAAAUAAAAAUAGAAAAAGGACAGAUGAUUGUUUAGUUAUUGAAUUAAUUUGGUCGUUCAUUAAUUAAAUUUAUUAAUAAAUAGUAUUAAAAAAUUCAUUAAAUAUAAAUCUAAUUCUAGAAAUAUAACUCUAUUAACAACAAUAAAUAUAAAAUCAAAUUUUUAUUAUAUGAAAAGAAGAUAAUAUUUUAUGUAUAUUAGACUAUUAAAAAUUGUUAAAAUUUAGUGUAACUCGACAAUGUUGAUUUUCAUAUUUUAACACAAUAACAAGAACCAAGUGACUACUUCCCAUCAGCUUAGUCAUAGUAGAGUUAUUGCUUGAAUAAUUUCGAGUUUAUUUCCCGCCUCAUAAAUUAGUAAAAAUUAAUUUAAAAUUUAAUAACAUUUAUUUGAUAAUUAUAUUUUUGAUAAUAAAUAACUUAACAUAUGCUAUAAUCAUACCGUAUUAUUGGCAAAACACGUGAAUAAAAACCAGACAUUAAUUGAAAUAAUUAUUAUGAAAUUCAUGAUCGACCAAUUUCGAAUAUGUAUAUGAACUUAGACUUAUUUAAUAUUGUGUUUGACUGAUAUUCAUAAAAUUUAUAAAAUUCAUUUAUCGAUUUAAAGUUUAUGUGCUUUGAAUAAAGUGAAAAUUGGUUUAGAGUUUUACAUAUUCAAACUUAUAUAGAAUUGAUUAUAGGUAAACGUUGAAUAUAAAAUUGACUAUAGCUAAACUAAAUUCCACCAAAAUAGAUAGAAUUUCAAAAUGAAUUCGAUAUUAGUUUGUUUAUAUAUUUUAUAAUAUUAAAUUAUCUUUUCAACUUUAUCAUUUUUAUUUUAUUUCUUUUUUUAUGUAUUUUUUUAAAUGAAGUAAAUAUUUUAAUGAAUCUCAACCAAACCUAGUAUAAGAGAUAUUUAUUAAGUUUUUUUAUUUAAAUAGAGUUAAUAAUGGUACUUACUAAGUGGAUACAAAAUAAAGAUAUUUAAUUAUUUAUUAUAGAAUUUAUUUAGAAUAAAAAUAAUUAAUUGGAUUAGAAUAAAGAAAAUAAAAAGAUAGAUAAAAAAGACCAAACUUUUAAUUAGUUAAUGUAUAAAUCAAUGACAAUGAUGAAAUAAUGACAAUUAAAAGAAAAAAUAAUAAAUAAGAGAGAAUGAUAAAUUUGACUUAAUAUUCUUACAAAUCAAUAUUUUAAUAUAUAUAUAUAUUGUGUGCGUAAUAACUUAAUUUAUUUUUAACUUAUUAAAGGCAUUUUGGUAAAUUAGUCACAUUCGCAUUGAUUUCAAGGGUUUACGUAAUUUCAACUAAUUAAAUAUCAACAUUUAAAUAAUUAUUUCAUUAAUAUUAAUUUAACACUAAUUUUGUAAUUUGGAAAAGUAAACUUAAAUUUAGUUAAUUCAGCUUUACUUUCUUGCUUUUAUGAUUUUGUAUUUGGAUAAUUAAUUGUUUAGUAAAUUAUCUUUAAGGAAAAUAAAAAAGAAUAAGUUUAAAUUUCAUUUUCAUGAGUUUUAAAGUAGGACAAAGAGUCAAUUUGUCUAUGAGUUUAUGUUCAAAGUCAAUUACAUCCAAUUUAAACUCUUUCAGCAAAUAAUCUAUUAAACUUAAGUCAAAGGGUCAAACUACACCUAAUCUAAACUUUUUCAAUAAAUAGCUCAAUGAAUUUGUAUCUAAUAGUCAAAUAUAUCCAAUUUAAAUUUUUUAAAAAAAGUUAGCUUUUAAUGGAAUUAUAAAGAUUAAAAAUGAUAUUUAUUUUAUUAAUUUAUUGAUUCAAUAUCUAGUGAUGCCUAUACAAAAGCGUAUUUGAAAAUUUUUAAAUUUUAGAUUUAAUUGACCCAAAAAUGGCAAGUAUUAAAUAAGUCAAAUUUCAACUUUCUAAGAAUUAAAUAAGUCAAAUUUUAACUUUAAAAAAAUUAAAUAAGUCAAAUUUCAACUUUUUUAAUAAAUGGAUCCAUAACUUAUCAUUUUUGGAUAAAUUUAAUUCAAAUUUUAGAAUUUAUCGAAUACACUCUUGUAUAGUGCGUCACUAUUGAAUCAAUAAAUUAAUGAAAUAAAUAUUAUUUUAAAUUUUCAAAACUAAAUUAAAAUCUAAAAAUCUAACAUUAUUUUACUUUUUUAAAAUGAAUGUAUUUAACCCUUGAUUACAAGUUCAGGGGCUAUUUAGUGAAAACGUUUAAAUUGAAUGCAACUUUUAAAUAUAAGGUUAGGUGGCUAUUUGCUAACAAAAUUUAAAUUGAAUCUAUUUGACUCUUAGACAUAACUUCACGAGUAAAAUUGACCCUUUGUCCUUUUAAAGUGUCAAGUUUUUUGGUUUUAAAUAAAUAUUAUAAAAUUAUUAGACCUCAUUAAUUAUUUAGACACCUAUUUAAAACCAAAAUGAAUUAAAUUACUCAUCAAUCACAAUUUUAUCCAGAACUAAUCUUAAUUAAGGAUUUAAUAGAGGUCUUCAAAAGUACUUAAAACUUCAGUUUGGCCUUUGGACUUUUUAUUUCUCUACUCAUCAGUUUAAUGAUUUAUAUCAAAGGUUAAUACUCACAUGUGAACUGGAAAAAAUAAAUAUUUUUGACAUUCCAUGAUGGUCAUUUAUAUCAAAGUUUAGUACUUAAAUGUAAGUAUAAGUAUAUUCUUAUGUGUGUUGAUCUAAAAAAAGGGUAUAUUUUANNNUUACAGCUUUUUUUAUUAUUUAUUUAUUUAUGUUUAAAUUAUAGAAUUAUUAUUGAAAGUCUCUCGUCUAAGAACUUAAAUUUUUAAGUGAGAUACAAAUAACAGUUUUAUAUUUUAAAUAAAACAGUUUUUUGACAUUAUAUUAAAGUAACUAAAAUCAAGUUCUUCUCUACUCAAUCAAGUUCACUAAUUAUUUUUUCAUUGGUUAAAUAUUCCAGUUAUAAAUAAAUUUGAAAAAAAAAAGAAAAGGAAGGAGAAAAACUUCAUAUUCCUUCUAUCCUAAAAAAAUAGUAUCUUUUUUCUUGUUAAUCUCUUAAAUUAUAAUCCAAUUUUUCAUAAUCAUUACUUUAAUAAUAAUUAUUAAAAAUAUUUUUUAUUAGUUAAAAAUAAAUAUCGUCAUAUACAAUUAAUUUUUACUUUUUUUAUAUUUUGAGGUUAUAAAUUUUAUAAAAAAACUUAAUAAGAAUAUUAUAAAGAAAUAAUGAUUAAAACUAAUGAUAUUAGAAAAAUAAACCAAUGCUUUUUAGUCUAUGUGUAAAUUAAAAACUGACUAUCUUUAUCGGAUGGAAAAUGCUAAACAAUUCAUCUAUUUUUGUCCAAACUCUUAGCUACCACAUGUGAGAUAUAAUAUUUUUACUAAAUUAUCUCUUAAUAUUUUGAAGUUAAGAAAUAGUUUUGCAAAAGUAUUAUAUAUCACAUCAGGUAAGUAAGAAUUAAGAUAAAAAUAGAUGGAUUGUGUAGCAUUGCUUCUAGGAGUAGCAAUGGAUAGGGUAUUCGCCCAUUUAACAACGAUAUCUCAAUCUAAACUUGAUUAAUAUAUAUACCUGAACCUGUCCCAAAUCUUAACAAAAAUAUUUGUACACUACCCGAAACCGAUAAAAGCUCGUUUAUUAUAUAGUUCUUAAAUAAACUUUAUGGAUAUUUAAGUGAUUAAUGGAUACUCUACUCGUUAAAUACCUAUUUAUAAAAAUAUUCAGAUAAUUAAAUGGGUAUCCAUUUACGAACUCGUUUAUAAUAAUAAAAUUAUAAAAUUUAUUAACAAAAAUUAAAAAACCUAAACAAUUGAAUUUUAAAUAAAAUCUUGUAAUUUUAAUUUUUUAAUUUUUUUAUUUCAUAUACAUAGUAUAUAUAUAUCAAAAUAUUAAAAAGAAAAUAAUCUAGCACUUGAGAUUUAACUCUACUUUUAAAAAUGAGACAUCUUGAAUUUUACAACUCUUUUUUUUUUUUUACACUAGUUAAAUUUUUUAUUUUUAUAUUGAAUAUAAAUAAUUAUUUUUUAUUAUAAAAUCCAUGAUCCAUUACAGCUCUAAUCAAAAAGGAAAAUAAUCUAGUGGCUGGCUCCACUUUUUAAAUAGAGUAUCACUAAUUAUUACUUGAACCUAUAAUAAUGUGAUCUAAUGCUAUAACUUUAUAUAAAAAUUAUUGGAUUUUUACACUAAAUUUAGUUUCAUUCAAUAAAUUAAACAGAUACUAUCCUAUAAAGAGAGAUUAUAAAUUUGUGUAUUAAUUGUUGUUACUGAAUUAGGAAAUCUAAUCAGUCCACAUAUUAUUAUAAUUUGUUAGAUCCUCUCUUUGUAAUUUGUUUACUUAUUAUUUAAAAAAAAAUUAUAUAUAGUAUAAUCGCCAACAAAAAUAAAAUAUCUAAAAAAUUUAUAUAUAAUAUAUUGUCUAAAAACAAUAUUUAAAAAAAUAUUAGAAUUCUUUGAAUUAGUAGGAUAUGCAUCAUCUAGACUUAUUGUUGGAGUAUGAUUAGUUGUGCUAAUUUGGUUCGUACCAGUAUUUCUAACAUUCCUCUAUUAUAUAUUAAGAUCAAUGCGAUCAAUGCAUAAAAUAUCACACAAUUUAAUAAUUGGCAUACCAAAAGCAAGUCCAAACCAAAGCAAUUAGGGGAAGAAAAAGGUUAAUUAAUAUGCAAAUCUAAACAAAGAAUUCAUAGAAAUGCAGAUCUUUUUCUCAUAUGGCAAUUUGUUCAUUUUAGAAGAAAGUGAAUCUAUUGUCAUAAAUUGAUUUGUUUUAUGAACUAAUUUAUAUAAUUAUGAAUUUAUUCUUUUUCAUUAAUGUCUUAACCUAUAAGAAUAUCCAAUAGCGGGCAAUAGAUUCAAAUCUCAAUAAUAAUAGCGUUUAACAAAGGACAUAAUAAAAAUUUAAUUUCCUAUGAUAUUCCUAUAAUAGUUAAAUUUUGUCAUCCUAUAAUUAUUUUAAUAUUUUUGAGUUAUAUUUUUACUAUUUAAUUUUAGCGUUUCCGUAACUAUUAUUAUUAUUUUUUUGUUAAAAAUAGGCGUUAACUGUAAAUAUUAUAUUUAAAACACCCUUAACAGAUUAAAUAUUUUAACAUCUCUAAAUUUUGUCAAAUUAUACUAGUAAAUUUAAUUAUUUUUAAUUUGAACAUAUUCUUGUUAAAUAUUUACAAAACUAAAACAUAAUUUAUCCUUACUAGUCCUUCUAGAAUUUAUUUAUAUAUCUAAAGAAUAAAAUACAUUAUUAAAUCAUACAAUUCUUUUGACUUAAAUUAUAAUUAUUAUCUUGAAUAAUUAUAAAAAAAAUUAUCUUGUGAAUAUUAUUAUAUAUUUAGUUAAAGUAACUUAGUAUAAAUAUUAAUUUUUAAAACUCUUAACUCUUAAAUAUUGAAAUAGCUAAUUAAUUUUUAAAUAUAGCAUGACUAAUAUUUCUAUAAUACAACUUCUAAUAAAUUAUAAUUUUGAAUUAAUUAAUUUAAUAGUUUUAAAAAAAUAUUAAAAUUAAUUAUUAAAAACAGAAAGAAUUACUAGUACAGUUUGAUUAAAUUCAAGUACUCUAUUUACAAAGGUAGAUUUGAUGUUUUAAAUAAAAGUGGUUUGACUAAUUGAAAUAUGAAUCUAAUGGAUUGAUUUAAUACUUAAUAUCAUUAAACGAGAAGAUAUUAAAAAUUAAUCAUUGAAAAAUCAAAAGUUCUACUGCUUAAAAAUGAUAAAUUAAUUAACCCUAAAAUAUGGUAGGUGAUAAUUCAGCAUGAAUAUAGAAGAAAGAAGAAGUAUCUGAAUAGGAAAUUGGCUUACAAAGGACAAUUGCUUGUCAGGAUUUUCCAUUUUCAGCCACCAAAGUCUAAUUAUCAUUCAACCAACAAAUUCUUGGUUGUUAUCUCCUUAUAGGGUCUCAGCAUUUAUAUAUAAAAAAAAGUGUUCUGCCAUUGCCAUUAUGCAAAUGCUAAGUGUUUAUAUGCAUCACAGUCAUGUCCAUGCAUCACCCUCUACACUUCCAUGAAUAUCCAAAAUUCCCAUUUAACCAUACCCACCACCUACUUUCAUGGCCAACUCCUAAAUUGAAUCUCUUUCAAGUUCUAGUAGACAUCCACACCCACUAUACCUCUUUAACCAAAACCCACCUCCAAUUCCUUGACCCUCUAUUAACUCAUUUCUUGCUUGCUUCUUGAUCAGCCUCAAAUUGCUUCUAGAGGGACAUUUUAUUCUCAUUGCUUGUUGGAAUAAGGUAAUCUAUAAGGGAGCGGAUUAGUUUGUCGGUCGGUUCGGUUGGGUUUAAUAAUAAAUAAGCUAAAAGAAUAGUAUUUUAUGAAGUUAUUUGAAGUUUUUUUUUAUCGAUCUUUACUUUUUCUUGUAGUUUCGUUGAAUUUGUGUGUUGGAACAUACAUCAUUGGCUUGAAAGUUUUUGGAGAGCAAAACUAACGUUUGAUUUUGAGAACAUUAUCAAUAUGGGAANNNGUUUAAAAUUAAUAGAGAUUAUGUGACCUAUCUUAUUUUAAAAUUUAGAUAUUUAAAUAUCUAUCGACCGACUGAGAUUUUAUUAAAAGGAAAAUAAUUUAAAAUUUUAUAUAAUAGGUAAUUAUUUAUUAGGUAAUAAAAUCACAAUAUGGAUUUUAAAUUUAAUGAUUAAGAUUCUUUCAACAUGACUUGUUAUGUUAAGAUAUCAAUCCAAAAUUAAUUGCACAACUUUUCAAUAAAAGCUUUCAUUUCUUUUUCAUACCUUUUUCUCUUCGGUCAUUCACUGAUAUUAGUAGAGGUUUAUUACUAUAUAUAAGGGAUAUAAUAGUCACUUAACUUUACUUUAGAUUUUAUUUUAUUUACUAAUCUCUUUUUUAUUUUAUUUUGGUCACUCAUCUUUCAUUUCGGUAGCAUUGAUGAUUACUAUAUGUGGUGAAUAUACAAAAUAUGACUUGUUUAAAUUACUUUAUAAUUGUGUGACACAAAUCUAAAGUUUAAUUUUAAAUACUAUUUUAGUUAGAUUAGUGAUUUAACUCAUUAUUUUAAUGAAAGUGUAAUAAUACCUCCAUUAAAUUAUGCCAUUUAUUGCCAUGUGGUCCUUUUAUUUGUAAUAACCAUUUUUUUUAAGAUUAAUUCAAUUACAUUAUUUGAUAUAAUCACUAAUCGGAAUGAGCUAGUGUCUAGGAUUAAGCUUAGGCACUUGUCACAUAAUUAUAUAAUAAUUUAAACACAUAAACAUAUAUUUUUUUUAUUCACAAUAUAGUAACUACUAUUGCUACCAAAAUAAAAUAAAAAUUUAGUGGCCAAUAUUAAAAUUAUUAUCCCGAUAAUAUGUAAAUAGUUAUCAUUUGGUACGUAGCUCAAGGCACAUCCAACCUUUAAAAAGAAUAAAAAUUACUAGUUAGAUUUGUUAGUGUUAUUUUUUUACUCUUAUAAUUUGUAAUUGCUUUACUUCAUCUGCAAUUAAUGCCUAUUAUAAUAUAACAAAACCAAGUUGGAAUAGGCACUCCACUAUGGCGAAAUGGACCACCUGAAAAACCAGUGUUAUGCAAUGCUUGUGGAUCAAGGUAUAGGAUAAGAGGAACCCUUGCAAACUAUGCACCUAAACAUGCUCAAUUACACCCACUUGCUAAAAGAGCAAAAAUAAUUAGCUCAAAAUCACCAGUUCCAAACAAAGGCAACAACUUGAGAAUAAAAGAAGAAGAGGAGGAGGAGGGAGAUUGCUUUACUGAUAAUGUUUGUUACUCUACUGAUUCUGAUGAUUCUACAAGCCAUAACUCUAUCUCAGAUGACUCUGCUGUAUCAUAUUCUCAGAACUGUUACAAUGUAGAAGAAGAGGAAGGAGAUGGGAUUCAAGGUAACCGUUUCAGUUUAUUAGGUAAGAAUAUGGAGAGUUUUGAGUCUAUAAAAGAACUUCAGUUCACUUUGCUCUUUGUUCACAUUAAUCUGUAUGAUCUCCUUUCUUCCAUAAAGUUCCUUUACUAUGUCAGUCUUAUAAUUAAGCCAGUACUUUUCUUUAAUGAAAACUAUUCAGUGAGAAUCUUUACAUUGUUACAGUAAACAUAGUUAAAGUAAAUGGAAGUGAGAUUUUAGGAGGUAAAAUAUAAUUUUUAAUUUUAAUUUGUUUGAAUUGACCGCAAAUGGAAGUUCUCGAUCCACCGAUUUGGUAGGUUGAAUUCUGAAAGUGGUUUUGAACGAUUCUUAAAUAUCUUAAAAAAAUCUUACCUUCUUCUCAGACAGAAGUCCUUAAAAAUCUUGAAAAACUUCUAUCCAAACAGGUGGUGGUUAACCCAACUGAUCAAAUUCUUAUACAUGGUACUGUUGUCUGCAGGUGAAACCCAAGGAAGCUUGUGGAAGACAAGUGUACCUUCAAGAAAGAGAUCUCUAGUGGUACAUCGCAGUCUUACACCCAUAGAAAGAUUCCAAAGAGAUCUUUUUAAUAUUCUGAAGUACGAGGAGGUGGGCCGUCCCAACCUGUCUGAAGAUUUGCUCAUCUAUGAUGCAAAUAACCUCCAGAUAUCAUGCAAUGAGAUAGGCCUUGGAACCAUUCUUCUUGCUCCAAUGGAAGCAGCAGUUGAUGAGACACUCUCUUCUCCUUCAGAUGUCAGGAUUUCUGGCUUCAACGAGUCUCAGAAUAGAUCCUCACCCAUGUAAGUAGAGCAUCAUGUUGGGUGGUUCCUUCUUCCUUUUUCCCCAUUUAUGAGAUCUGCCAUCAAUUGAUACAGGGAUGAACUUAAACUCAACAAAAACAACCUGCUGCUGUUAGCCCAAUGUCAGUCCAAGAAAUCAAAAAAAAGCUGUCAUCAUCAACAUCAAAUUAGUUGAAAUAUAUGAACAGUAGCUUUUGGCAUUUGAUACAACAACUGUAUUGGGCUGACCCACAUAUCCUACAAUAAUAUGUAUGAAUUGUUCAUGGCUUAGAUUGUAAUUUUCCUUUCUUUUUUUUUUUUUAAAUUUGUCAAUAAACUAAGGUUAUAUUGUCGUUUUCAUAAUUUAAAAGAAUUCUCUUCUUUGAGCAUUAUUUGAAAGCUAUAUACCUUUUGUACCCAUAAAUGUCUCAACUAUUAUUUAUCCAUAACUAAAUAUAUUAUUACUUCUCUUGUACAAUUCUUUUCUUGAUAUAUCCAAGUAACCAUAUUCUUAUUCCAAAUUGUCUUCAAAUUAUUGUAAAUCCAUAUACUAAUUAUUGACAAUUUACCAGCAAUUGUGAAAAAUAUAUUAUUUUCAUUUAUAUUAUAUUAAUCCAUUGCAAAUUUAAUUUUUAUUUUUAUUUUUUAUAUUAAAAUAUAUUUGAUAACUGUAGUUAAUUAAAUAUUUUUUUCUUAAAAAUUAAAUCGACACUAAAUAAUUUGAUAUGAUAAUAAUAAAAAAAACUACAUAUUAAAUCUUAAAGAAAACUAAUUUAGAUUCUUUCAUAGAGUAAAUUAUAAAUUCAUAAACUAAAACAGCAGCAGCAACCACACGUUCUAGUUGGCGCGUAAACCCAACAAUUUCUCUCCUCUCUUCUCUCUCACCGACAGACAGUGAUCUUUGCUUCUCUCACACUCCCCUCCAUACCCACCCACCACCACCUGACCACCACCACCUCCUCAAAACCGCCGCUAACAUCUUUCUCUCUCUCUUUCACCUCGUUCAUUCACCACCUGUAGCCAUGGAUUUCGCAUCCCGAGGCAGAUCUUAUAACGUUAUUAAUAUUCUUUUUGUUAUCGUUUUAAUUGUGACGGGCUCAGCUAUUGAAGUCUGUAAUGCUUCAAUUCACAUUUACAAUAACGAAGUGUUUAGCGAUGUUGGAAAUGCUUACCUUCUUUCUGGUGGUAGCGAAGGCAUUGUCGCUUCUCUCCUGAAUACUGGCCGCUCUUAUAUCAGGUAAAUACACUGACGUUUUGAUUGGAUCUGUUGUUUGCAUUGAUUUAAUAAUUUUCUAUGUUAUGUUCAAAUGUUUCUUUUUCUAAAUAUCGAAAUUAAGAUUAUUUUGAGAAAAAAAAGAUGAGAUCUGAUUAGGCUUGGCCUCAUUAAAUGGAAUCUUUAUGUUUCCAGUGAAAUUUAUUUAGACAGUCUUUUGGAAAGUCUAGAAAUGCAAGUCUUUCAUUUCAAUUCAAUCGAACUAUAUUUAAAAAGCACAAUGAUAUUUUGUCUUUUUCAAAGAAAAUUGACAUGAUUUUGCGAGAAAUUGAGUUCUUGCAUAUAAUUUAUUCCAAACAAGGCCUUAUAAAGAAAUGAAAGAUUCAUGAAUUAUUGUUUGCUUUUUCUCACUAGCAGAAAAAUCGACACUGUAAAUUAGGAAACUUGAGCUUGAGAUGCUUUGCCAGAGAUUAGAUUGGCUUUUUCACAAGUAACGUUGCCGAAAGUUUUUGCUUGAUUAUUAUCCUUUCCACCAAAAUGUAAAUUCAAGUAAUGAGAAGAUUGGGUAUGUCAGGGCGUUUGAUACUCAUCUGGUCCCUGAAUUUGAUAGAACGUUUGUUCCUUGUAAUAUGUCAUUUUUGGAUGAAGAAAAAUUUAUAUUGUUGAUAUUUUGCACUUCUAUUCGUUUGGAGCAGGUUCAAGGAUAUUACAUUCUGGAGGACUAAAGCUGCUGCUGAAGAGCACUCAGAAAUGGAGCACAGUACAGGAUUGAUACAGGUUGUGAUUUUCGAGGCAGCUGACCGAAAUAAUAUUGGUGGUUCUGCUUAUGGUGGACAAAGAUCAAUUUGUUGCACUCCCGAUCUUGCUAAGCUAGAAGGUUGCAAGCAAGGUGAAGUCAUUAGGAUACCUUCAGCAACAGAUGUCAAGUGGCCUAUUGUUAUGAAUGUGCAAUUCAGUGGUAACUACUUAUCAACAGAGAUAAGGAAUGAGGUUGUAAAUAUCACAAAGACGGGAAUGUAUAACUUAUUCUUCAUCACAUGCGAUCCUAAACUCAAGGGAUUAAUAAUGAGUGGAAAGACAGUUUGGAAGAAUCCUGAUGGUUAUUUGCCUGGCAGGAUGGCCCCUUUAAUGAAGUUUUAUGUGUUCAUGUCUCUUGCAUAUCUUUUGCUUAUUGUCAUUUGGUUCACACAGUAUAUGAGGUUUUGGAAGGAUAUUUUGCAACUUCAGCAUUGCAUUACAGCCGUUGUUGCCCUAGGAUUGUUUGAGAUGAUUCUUUGGUAUUCUGAGUAUGCGAACUUUAACAGCAUGGGUAUUAGGCCAGUUGCAAUUACAACUUGGGUUGUGACUGUUGGAGCUAUAAGGAAAACUCUUGCUCGCCUCCUUAUACUUUCAGUUUCUAUGGGUUAUGGAGUUGUGAGGCCCACUCUUGGUGGUCUUACAUCGAAGGUGAUUCUUCUUGGAUUUACAUAUUUUUUGGCAUCUGAGUUGCUUGAUAUUACUGAGUAUGUGGGAAACAUCAAUGACGUAUCAGGAAGAGCAAGACUGUUUCUAGUCCUUCCUGAUGCAUUCUUGGAUGCAUUUUUGAUAUUGUGGAUAUUUACAUCUCUUUCAAGAACAUUGGAGCAGCUACAGGUAUUAAUGUGCCCAUAAUCAUCUAUUUUUCUUUGGAAUUUUACUGUCUUGCUAUUAUCAAUGCAUGCUUGCUAUUUUUCAUCUUGUCAACUUUCUAAAUUUUGUUUUAUAUGGGCUUCUUGCACCAAAAAUAUUGAUAUUCAGGCAAAAAGAAGUGCUGUUAAGUUGGAUAUCUACAGGAAGUUCUCAAAUGCACUAGCUGUGGCAGUGAUAGCUUCUGUUGCUUGGAUAGCUUAUGAGGUAUGGUACAUGGAAAAGAGUACAUUGGGUUCUAACCAAAUUUAUUUUAUUUACUUUCUUUAUCUUCUUCCUUUACCAUUUGAGGAAUUAUAUGUGAUAAGACAACAAAGCUCCGUGGCUCAUCAUAAAAGAUGGUACACUUGUACUUUUUCUAUUACUGUUUCAUCUAGUAGUGUACUUUUACCGGAACUGAAGACUUCAAGCAUCUAAAUUUCAUCCAUCAAUAAUCAAGUAUCUAAUUCUAAUAUAAUUCUGUUUCUGCUAAAUAAUGGUUCAAGGAUUAUCUUUACUGCCCUCACUAUAAAAGGUGUGAAAGAGAUGUUAAAGACAGUCAACAACGUAUUCAUCCAGAAAUAACAUGUACCAUUUUGGGCUUCCGAUAUGAACUCUUCAUUUUUGUCAUUGAUUUUCACUGCUUCGAGAAAACUUUUUUCUCCAAGAAUAUGCUUUUCUGCUUGCAUAAUAUGUAAUAAAUUGCUCUGUUUGUCUUGUUGAUGUUGAUUACUCAACUUAUUAUGAAUCUGAGUCACUUUCUCACAGGUUUACUUCAAAGCAACUGAUCCAUUCAAUGAAAGGUGGCAAGGUGCUUGGAUCAUUACAGCAUUCUGGGACAUUCUUGCAUUUGCCUUGCUGUGUGUUAUUUGCUAUCUUUGGGCUCCUUCUCAAAGCUCACAACGGUAAUAAUAGAUUUGAGAUGUUCUUCAUUAUGAUUAAUUUUUACUAGAAAAUUCUUGGACACAGAUCGUACAUAAGUUAUUUCUAAACAAUUUCUAAACAAUGCCAAUGAAAUUGUCAGACUGAUCAUUUGGACCUGUUAAAAGAAAAGAAAAAAGAAGACAAAACUGGUUCAAAUGCUAGUUCUAUAUUUUUCUUUCAUUGUCCGUUUCCAUGGAAAACGUUUUAUGGCAUUAAUGUUCUACUGCCACCUGUUUACGCUGAAUGUUACUCCCAACCUACAGGUAUGCCUACUCAGAAGAAUUAGGAGAGGAAUCUGAUGAUGAAGAAGCACAAUCUCUAACAAGGGGAAAGUCAGACGGUGAUAUCAGUUUAGUCGAAAAGAAAGAAAAGAACGCAGGGAGCACGGAUGUCUUUGAUCAAGAGAAUGAGACAGAAGAAGAUAAGAGAGAAUGAUUUUUGGAAAAACAUAUUCUCACAGGAACCUCAUACAGCAGUGCUGAACAAUCCUGUUACUAUGAGCUCAAAGAGGUCAUUACCUAUUAUUUCACAAAUACUUCCACUUGGGCUGCAGAGGUUUAAAAUUUUGACUUAAUGUGAUUCUGCUAGUUCACCAGGGUGAAUAUACUGCCAAAUUUCUUGUAUUUUUUCAUACCAUUAAUUUGUAUCAUUGUGUAAUUGUAUCAAUGAGUAAGGGUGGCUUUUGGAGUGUAUAGAUGUGCUUUUGGAGUAGAUAAAAGUUUACUAGUGAUAGUUGCAUCACAUGACUAGUCUACUCCUAACGAUAAAACUGCUCCACAAUUUAAAAAGAAAAAACAAAUAAGUAAGAAAACCCUUAUCCUAAUUCUAAUUCAGGUGCUAGUAAAUUUGGGGACAACCGCAUACAGCAGCCUUAGCCAGUUCACCAGGCAACAACAACCUGAAAGCAGUCUUAAUCUCCCUAUAGUAGAAGUAGGCCUCUUUUUACUGUAACAUGAGCACAUAGCAAGAAAGAAAAAUCAUCAAGAAAAACAAUGGGCGUUCAAGAAAAUAUAAAAUGUGAAUCUACCGUUCAGCCCUAUCAUAGCAAGCAAGAAUCAUCAAGAAAAAGAACAGUCAAGAAUUUGUUAUACCCAAAUCAUGAAAAGAAGAAAAAGAAGCUGAUGAUCAUGACCAAAAAUCUUCAGAGACUUUUCACUUCACUUCCUGCCGCACCACUUCCAAGCACGGCAUUUCUUGGCAAUACGAAAGGAAACAUAAGCACCAACAGUAGCAAGCAAAACCUGAUCGUCAUUAAGAACAAGAUCAUCCCACUUACUACCAGUUACAGCCUUCUGAAAUUUCAUUCCUUGAUACCCUAAACACUUCUCCACAACUUCCCCAACAGAAUCUUUAUCAACAAGUCUCUCUCCGCUCGCGGAUAUCGCGUGGUUCCUCACAUGAAAAAGCCUUGAAAUCUCCACCUGGUGCCUCGACUUCAGCAGCAUUUUCUCACACUCUCUCACAUUCAUAGUCCCAGCAAACGUUUUCUUCUUUCCAUUAGAAAGAAAUGUCCGGAGACUGACAGGAAACUCGGCGUUGGGUACAGAAAGUUGAAAGAUCAAGCAGCGAUCGCCGAUGCAGAGCUGCAGAAUAUCAGCACAAGAUUCUUGAUUAUCAUCUUUUAUUGGAUUCCACUGUACCCCAAUCCCUACUACAAGUUCUUCUUUUUCAAGUAAGUUGUAGUGUAGGCUGAGUGUUUUGUUCAGCCAAUCUAUUGCCUCCACAGCAGAGGAAGUUAAGGUCACAUUGAUGAUAUUGUCAAAGAACUGGACUGUGUAUAAUGUGUGUGAUUCUUUCUCUUCUUUAAAGAGGACUGCUCCCCACGGCGCUUCCAUUGUUUCUCUUCUUUGUCCUUGUGAGUUGGGUUUCUGUGUUUCAGUGAACAAAAUGCACUUCUCCCUGCGUUUUCUAUUUAACGUAACUAACUUGAAGAUGACGGACGGAAGGGGAACUAAUGCGGUAGUUUCGCUUCUAUUGUAAAAUUUGAUGCUGUGAUGAUCGUAGACCGUCUGAUUAAUAUUUGAAAAAAUAAUUAUAAUACCUAUACUAUAUAUAUUUAUUUUUGUGACAUAUAAUUAAUAUAUGUAUAUAUAAUAUUAAUAAUUUUUUAUUUAUAAUCUAUAAUUAAUAUACCUUUAUUAAAAUCAUGUAUUUCAUUCAAUUAAUGACAUAUUGUCUAAUUAUAUCAAUGAGUAAAAGGGUUACUUUCUCAGAGUACGUAAAAUACUAUUCAAGCAAAGUUGAAUACUGUACUGUAUCUAUUGAUGGCAAGACUCGCCCAAUUCCCACCCAAUAUAAAAUGGAUAUGGCUGACAAAUGGGUCUUUUAUAUUUUAAUCAGAGAAUGAAAUUGAAAGAAUUGCUUAAUUGGGUGGAAUGAGAUGCCAACUUUUGUCAACUUUUAAAAUUCUGCUUUGGCACUGAUAAUUUUUGCCUCCCCACUUGAAAAAGUUGUAAGCUACAAUCUUUCAAUCCAACUCCAUUUUUAUUGCUUGGCGGGUAUUGAAUAUCAUAUGAAAUUCUGAACCAAUUAAUUUAUGUUUUCUCCAAUUUUAUUUCUGUUCCUGUUCCAUCUAAUUUACACUAUUGAAAGACAAAGACACUACUUCAACUCAUGGACUCAUCUUUACCCACAAAUCAGAAGUAACGAACAAAUGCUAGAUUAUUUCACAUUAUACAGACAUCAACUAAUGCAUAAUCAUCAAGAAAUCAUAUGGGUUUCAGUUGCACCAAGCACUAAUAUUAGCACAAGCAACGCACAUGAACAACUAUAAUAUGUCAUAUACUAGCAAGCCAAGAAUACAAUUUAGCAUUCAAUCCUAUUAUACCCAGCAAGAACCAUACAGUUGCAAAAUCAAAGAACUUAGAUCCCACAAAACGCAGAAAUGGGCUCUGAGUUCAUAUCAAUUCUUGAGCAAAAGGGAUUACUCUUUUCACUUCCCCCAAUUCCAAGCACGCAGUUUCUUGCCAAUCUGAAAGGAAACAAAAGCAUCGACAGCAGCUUGCACAACCUGAUCAUUAUCAAGAAAAAAAUUAUCCCACUUAGUGGUACUUACACGCUUCUGAAACUUCACUCCUGAAUACCCUAAAUACUCCUCACAACNNNNNNNNNNNNNNNNNNNNNNNNNNNNNNNNNNNNNNNNNNNNNNNNNNNNNNNNNNNNNNNNNNNNNNNNNNNNNNNNNNNNNNNNNNNNNNNNNNNNNNNNNNNNNNNNNNNNNNNNNNNNNNNNNNNNNNNNNNNNNNNNNNNNNNNNNNNNNNNNNNNNNNNNNNNNNNNNNNNNNNNNNNNNNNNNNNNNNNNNNNNNNNNNNNNNNNNNNNNNNNNNNNNNNNNNNNNNNNNNNNNNNNNNNNNNNNNNNNNNNNNNNNNNNNNNNNNNNNNNNNNNNNNNNNNNNNNNNNNNNNNNNNNNNNNNNNNNNNNNNNNNNNNNNNNNNNNNNNNNNNNNNNNNNNNNNNNNNNNNNNNNNNNNNNNNNNNNNNNNNNNNNNNNNNNNNNNNUCGUCCUUAGCCAAUUUUUUGCCAUUUCUUUGGAGGAGGUUACGGUGACAUUGAUGGCAUUGUUAAAGAAGCUAACUAUGCAGAACGUUUCUAAUGGUUUUUCUUCUCUAAAGAUGAUUGUUCCCCCCGGCGCCGCCAUCGCUGUUGUUUUCUUUGCUUUCUUUCUUUUUUUUCCUUUUGGGUUUCUGUUUAAAUGUAGAAGAAGAAAAAACUGAUACUGUAAACUAACUGAAGACGAGGGAAGGGAGGAGAAGUAAUCCUGUAGUUCUACUUAUAUUGUAACUUUCGCUGCUACGGAUGAUAUAUGCCGUUUGAUUAAUUAGUAAGAUUAACUUUUGUGCUGUUGCUGAUUUUUGUACUAGGCUUAUCCGUUUUGAGUCUUUGAUGGAAAUACUUACUAUAUAAUUAAAAAAUAUAUUUAAUAUUAAAUAGAUAACACUAAAGAAAAAUCAAUAGUAAUUUUGUUAAUGUUAUUUAAAUCUAUUUAAAAUAUAUAUCUAACUCAAAGUUAUAAAUUGAUUUCUUAACAGUUGAAUUCCAUUUUAAUAAAAAAAAUGCAGAACUUAUUAUCUAUACAGGAGCAAAGCAUGUACUGACAUCACUAAGUAGGAAAGAGAGUAAGAAUAACUAACUAAACUGAACUAACUAAUUAAUUAAUUGGCGGGAAAACUAUAAAAUCUUAACAGACUAAAACAUGAAUCAUAAGCCAUUAUGUUCUACUUGCAAGGAAAACUUGUAGGAAUAAUUGAUUUUGGAAUCUUUGGUUACAGUGACAGCAAUUUGGCUAGACUUUUGGAGGAUAAAAGGAGCACGUGAGGCUAUGUUUUUAAUCUUGGAUCAGCUUCCAUAUGUUGGAGUUCAAAGAAGCAAGCAACAACAAUCUUAUCUACAUCUGAAGCUAUUCAUGCAGCAGCGACUUUGUCACCAUAUUAAAUAAUUUGGUUAAUCAAGAACAAAAGAAGCAACAAAAAUUUAUUGCAAAAAUAGAGCGGCAAUUGCUAUGUCAAAAAAUCUAGCCUACCGUGGAAGCACAAAGCAUAUUGAUAUUCAAGUUCAUUUUAUUCGAUUACCUAACCAGAGAGAGCCGAUGCUAAAGUCGCCCUUUAUGCGAGGGAACGCCAGACAAACUUACAUCUCUGCUAACUACGUUUUAUAUAGAAGGGAAGCUAGAGAGAUACUAUACUAAGGUACAGUGCCGCUACCAUACUAGAGAAGGUUGUUUCAUACUAGGCGUCCAGACCUACUACGCCUGAGCCGCAUCCCCGACACACUUGCUAUAUCCAUUAAUGCUUUAUCCCACUUCAUCCUACCAACUAUACCUGAUAGAAAGCCGUUUCUAUAAAAGUUCAAGACAACAAGAAAAAGAUAGCGAUCGGUUUAAGAGCGUCACAGGGGGAAGGAGAGAAGUCUUUCAAGGACCUGACUUUGUAGACAGAGAAUCGCGGACGAGAAAGAAUAGAAUGUGUUAGUGCUAAUAUUUUCUGUAUUUAUCGAGUUAGUUUGCUAUUAUGUAAAAAUACCUAUUUAAAGGCAUGUUAUUGAGUAUCAACACAAGACUCCUGAUUAUCAUAUUUUUUGGAUUCUAUUGUACCCAAUUCCUAUUACAAGAUGUUUACUUUCAAGAUAGAAGUGGUAUUGUUUUAGUGUUUUGUUCGGUCAAUUUAUCGUCUUUAUUCUAGAGGAAAUUAAGAUCGUGUUGAUGGUUUUGCUAAAGAAUUUGACCGCUAGUGGCAAUUGCUCUCUCACUAAAAUCCAAAUUAAUAAAAAGAUAUAUAAAACUAAUAAAGUAAUUAAAAUAAAAUCAAUUAAUAAUAUAGAAUUAAAAGUAAAUUUUACGAUAGCAAGACUUUAUAUUAAUUGAUAAAUUAACUAUUCAUUAAACUUUCAACUAAUUGAUUAAAAUAUAUUAAUUUCAUAUUAAAAUUUUCUCAUAUUUUAUAAAAUAUGAUAGGUCAUGUUGAUACAACUUUGACCAUUAAAUUUAAAUUUGAUGGUUGAAAUUUUAUUAUUUGAUAAACAAUUGCCCGUUAUAAGAAAUUUAAUUUUUUUUAAUAAAAUUUCAACAAUUUGAUUGAAAUUUAAAGAUGAAUAUAGUAUAACAUAACAAGUCAUGCUCAACAUGAACAUGAAAAAAUCUUAAUUCAUCAUGUAUGUUAGAGUAAUUCUCUAAUACAAAUUCUUAACCUAGCAAUUUUAGUGCAAUUCUCUUUCAAUUUAUUAUGAAUUAAGAAAAUAAAAUUAUAUUAAAAUUUAAAUAUUUUAACAGCCUCAAGUACUAUUUUCUAAGAUAUGAUAAACACUGAACACUAAUUUCUUAUGAUUUUUAUAUUUUUAACUAAACAAUAAAAACAUAUUUUUCACAAAUAAGAUUUUUCUUUAUUACAAAUAAAAGAAGGAGUGCUCUAAUUUAAAAUCUUAUUUAAAUGGAAAUACAUGCUUACGUUUCAGUUGUAAUCUAUUAAAAUAUCUAAUUUAUUUAUAAGUGACUUUUAAAUAGAAUUUAUUUAAAAAUGAAUUUCUAUAUUUGAUGUGUUAGAAUUACAGAAUCCAUUUCGAUAAAAAAAUAUAUUAUAUUGAAAAUAAAUUAAAUAAAAUAAUUGUGGAUAAAAGAUAUGUUUGAGAAAAUAAAAUAAAAUAGUAAAAUUAAAAAAGAUAUUUUAAUUUUAUAACUAUAUUGACAUACUAAUAUAAAAUUUAUUAUAUUUCGUUAGAAUUUAAUUUAGUUAUAAUAAAUUUUAUAAAUUUAAUUAUUUAUUAUUUUAAAUAGAUUUUAUUUCAGCUAAAUACAUCAAAUUUAAAUUUAUAAAUAAAAAUUCUAUAAAAUCUUAAAGAGUUUAUUUUAGCUAAAUAUAAUAUUAUUAUCAGUUAAGCACAAUAAUGGUAGAAAUAAAGUAUUAUCUAUAAUUGAGUCAAUAAGAAAUAAACUAUUUUAAUAUUUGUUUUGAUUUAUGAAAAAAUUCAAUAAUAUUGUGAAUUACACAAUAUAUAUAUAUAUAUAUAUAUAUAUAUAUAUAUAUAUAUAUAUAUAUAUAUAUAUAUAUAUAUAUAUAUAUAUAUAUAUAUAUAUAUAAUAUAACUUACAAGAGUAUAGUUGUAGAGUACAAGAGGAAAGGUUUUUUCUCUCACUCUCAACACUCUUUUCUCACUAUGUAAUUUUUUUUAAAAUAAUCACCUACUAGCUUGUAAGUUAUGGCUUCUAUUUUCUUUUCUCCAUAAGAAAUAGUUAUCUUUUUAAGAUGAGGAUGUUCAGACUGGAUGGUUCGGUUCUCUCUGACCUUCCACCCCGAGGCUUUGUUCCUAAUGGUAAUAUGACUAAUGAUCUUAUCUUUGAAAAUGUAUGAAAUACCAUUUUCUUUGCAAUAAAUUUGAAACCGAUAAAAAAAUGUGAUUUGAAUUUUAUUUUGUGAACAAAAUUUAUAGUAUCUUUUAUGGAUUUUAUCUUUUUCUUUUAAAUUUUUAAAAAUGUUAGAGUUUUUUGAAAUGGUUUUUCUUUGAAUAGAAAUCUUCAUGUAAAAGCUUUUUAUUGAUUUGAAAAUUUUUUCAAAUCAUAGUAAGUUCUGCUUCUAGAUUUUGGGUUAUUGCUGAUGGUGAUGGUGAAGAGGGGUAGAGAUAGAUUCCAUGUCAUCUUCUUUCUUUGAUUGGCUUUCAUUGUAAACAGGUAUUGGGACAUUGCUUUGGUAAUCAACAUUUUCUAAUGUGGUAUUUGGGCUUGGCAAAUAUGAUGUUGAAAAUCUUGGCAAGCGUCAUGUUGGAACAGGUUCUUUGUAAAGGGCAUAGAUGACAUAGGGUAUUGUUUGAAACCCUUCCAAUAUCUAUGGUUGAAAUGGAAAAAGUAUCAUUAGAAAAUCUAGAGUGUCACGACCCCACCCGUGGGCCCGUGACCGGCACUAGGGAAUGGGUAGGCUUAAGGCCACCGAAACCCGUAGUAAGCCUGACACUCACUGAUUUAAACAAAUCUCAUCUCAAAUUAAUAUUAUUAAAACCAAAAAUUAUCUUAAUAGCUACAUUCUACAUAAAUACUUCGGUCUGCCAGAAAAACUAGGUUAGACCAGAAGCUCAGAAAAUUUUCAACUGAUACAUUUACUAUUACUACUGCGGAGAAUCUAAGAUUUACCAAUUUACAUACCAAAUCAAAUACAUCACCCGAUGAUGAAGGAGUCGGGUUACUGAAUAAGAGUCGCGGGAGAACUAACAGUCACGAAUCUGAAAAACAGUAAAAAUGAGACUGUUAGUCUCGAGAGUGAGUUAAAAUCAAAUAAUCUAGGGACUAUUGCUUCUUCUCAGAAAACAUAGAUUAUUCAAAUCAUACUAUAAUCAUACCCUACUAUUUCCUUCACAUAAAAUAUUAAUCAUUCGAAUCAAAAUAUCAACCAUGCAUGUAAAUACAAAUCACAUUAUAAUCAAAUACCAUAAUAAAUAAAUAAAUAAAAAUAUAUAUUUACUUUUACGGGACGAGUGGCUCGGUAGAACCCUAAACCCCAAAAUCUAGUAGCCAUUCGGCUCUCUUAAUCCAAUAAGACUGGCGCCCCGAGAGCAAUGCUCGACCAGGGACCUUACCUCCAGUCUGGUCACUUAAAUAUCCAAAUAAGAAAUCUAGUAGCCAUUCGGCUCUCUUAAUCCAAUAAGACUGGCGCCCCGAGAGCAAUGCUCGACCAGGGACCUUACCUCCAGUCUGGUCACUUAAGUAUCCAAAUAAGCCGGCCCCCCGAGAGCAAUGCUCGACCAGGGACCUUACCUCCGGCAAUCAACUGAACUCAGCCCAGAGAGCAAGCUCGAUCAGGGCAGACAAAUCCAUAAUAACCUUAUAUCCAUGAUCAUUACCGGUGCGCACGCGGUCCUGAUGUAACCCAUCAGGCGGCAUGUUCUACAAGCCACAUUUCCCAAUUCGCAAUCAUCACAUAUAAUAAAUAUCAUUAUCUGAUGAACUCAUCCAACACAUAUCGAAAUAAAGAUUAAAGAUUUAAGGUAAAACAACGUGCAAUUUGUGAGGGGAAAAAUAAUAACGCUUAUCUUAUUAUAACAUACUAAUAAUAAUAUUUAUAUUAUUUCAAAUAUUAAUAAUCAAGUGAAAUCAUUUAUCUUGCGAUACUAAUAAUCAUAUUAAGCACAAAUUCUAAUUAGCAUAUUAAAAUCAGACUAGCAAUAGCGCAAAGAUUAAAUGACUUUAACUCACAGGAUUGGGCGACCUCCUAGCUCUGCUCCGGUGCCUCGGUUGGAGCGAGCCGAACAGACAGAUCAUCUAAUCACGGAAAACAAUUUAUCAAUACGCUGAGACAAUCCAUCAUUAAUCCUAGGUCUAGACUCCUAGGACUGACUGUCUAAGAAUCUCGACUCGGGAGAAUUCUACCGAAAAUCCGGCAGAACCUCCCCUACAACACGAACAUUACCCCCCGUAAAAACGGGUCCAGGACCUGCCAGAAGAACACUUCAAAUACUUAACGAUUCAAACAAUAGGAGUCGGAUCCCCAAACUUCACUAUUUCCCGACUCCGCCACACAGCAUAAAAACACGACUGUGGCAGGCAAAACUGACAAUUAUUUAUGACUCACAAAAAUCAUCAAAUACACAAUAUAAUCCAAUAGACACAAUUAAACCAAGAAUUCUAAAAUUAACGGGCCAUAGAUAAUUACCGAGACGCUCAGUCGCUCGGUCGACUCGCCUCUAGCCGCCGGAGUCCGAUCGACGAUCCGAACACACCAUCGGACUCACAACGAC
rnacentral:lncRNA from 1 species